rnacentral:lncRNA from 1 species
AAGACGCACAAAUGCAUUUUAUUGAAGAGUAUAGUAGCUGUCUUGUAACCAGCUGUUACAAGAAGCAUGGCUCUGGAAAGGACGCAAAAAGAACUUCCAACAGCCAAAGCUACAUAAACAAUUAUGAGAGUAGAACCUCUAACUGCAGGUUUCACAUCAUCUGACACGGGACUUGCCCAAGCCAUCCAAUAAUUGCUUCCAAUCUGAAGCAGCUGAAAGAGAAUCUGUGACAACAAUAUAAAGGGCACAAGAGCUCCUCCAUAUGCUGUCCUGAUGUAUUUCCAAUAAACCCAUAGCCCAACUUUACCUUUCUCUCUCUCCUCUUCUUGAACAAGCUGACCUUUUGGUCCAUCUAUCUCCUCUGCUUUACCAUUUUGGCCACCUCUGUUUUCUUCUUUUUCAACUACUUCAGAAGUACCACCAAUAUUAUCACUAUCCUCAAGGAUACUUAAUUUUUCUGAAAGUGACCCUGCCUCUACAGAAUUGAGUGCUAACAAAGCUUUCUUAUGUGCACCAACAAGUUCCAUAAAAUCAGUUCCAGAGUUGAGAAUUUCAUUGUACUUUCCUGCUUGUGUAACCCUUCCAUCUUUCAUGACCUGCAGGUAUGCUACAUUUCUUAAGUUUAUCUAAUGAAAACAAAGGCAAGGAAGAAAAAACAUUGUAAUUACUCACCAGUAUGAGAUCAGCAGCAGGUAAGAACUCUACUUGAUGUGUAACAUAAAUCACUGUUUUCGAACCCGAGAGACCCAGCAAACAUUCCUGUUAUAUGAAGAUUACUUACAAAUACGAUCAAUGAAAGAUUUUUUUUUUUCAUUUAUUAUAUAUAAUAAAAAGGAAAGGAAACAAAACAAAGGGCAAUGGCAUAGCAAGGGUCCCUAAUUACCUCAGCCAGACCAAGAACCAAAUCUUAUAUAGCCCAUAGCAGUGCAUAUUAAAACAUACAAGGAUAGCUCAUUUUCUACUUAAUGCAAUGGCAUUGUAUAGAUAAUAUGUUGUUUUACUUCAUAUAUAUAUAUAUAUAUAGAUCAAACUCAGGCUUUUAUAAGAGAAAAAAAUUACCUUAAAGAGAUGGGUUCCUGUAUGAGCAUCCACGGCACUGAAGGGGUCAUCAAACAGAUAAAUAUCAGCAUUUUGGUAGAGCGCACGUGCAAUCUGUAUUCUUUGCUUCUGGCCACCACUCAUAUUGAUUCCCCACUCACCUAUUACUGUCUGAUCACCAAAUGAGAGAACCUCCAGGUCCUUCUUUAAGGAACAUGCAUCAAGGACCCUUUCAUACCUUUCUCUUUCCAUCUCCUUACCAAACAAGAUGUUCUCUUCUAUCUUGCCACUCUGUAUCCAAGGAGACUGAGCAACAUAGGCCUUUGUUCCACACAGCUUAAGGAUACCAGAUAUCUUAGGCACUUCUCCCAACAUACAAGAUAGUAAGCUUGACUUGCCUGAGCCUACAGUACCACAAACAGCAACCCUCAUGCCACGGCACACCCGCAAAUUAAUAUCCUUCAGUGUUGGAUUAGGGGAAGAUAAAUCCCAAGAGAAAUUCCCAUCCACUAUCUCAAUUGCUGUAUCAGAACUACCUUUUGGAAGCCUCUCGAUAACAUCACUCGGCAGGUCAUCCAGACGAAGAAAGGAUGCAAUUCUGUCAAGGGAAACUUUAGUCUGAGCUAUCAUUGAGAUUAGGUCAGGAAGACUGUAGAUGGGUUCUUGAAGUAUCCUGAAUGUUGCAAGUGAAGAUAAGAUCUUCCCUGAUUCAAGCGGGAUCCCUAGAAGCAUGCAAGUUCCAAAGGUGGCCACAGACACAAAUGUUGGGGCUCCCCAGAAAACAAAAGUGGUCACGGCUGAAGUGUAAAGAUAUUUUUUCAACCACCCUGUCUCAUUCUUCCGAAGGUCUACAAUUUUGGACAAAAACUUCAUCUCCCAUCCCUGAAGCUUGAGAAUCCUCAUGUUUCUUAAGAUCUCGGAUGUUGCCUUCAUCCUUUUAUCUUUUGAUUCCAUCAACUUGUCCUGAAACUUCUCUUGCCAUUUCCCUAGUGGAACAUUUGUCAACAUAACAAUUACAGUUGCAAAGAAAGCUGCAACUGAAGCAAGGCCCAGGUUUUUAUACAAGAUUAGCAAGGCUAAAGUAACUUGCACAAUCACCAUCCAUGGAUCAUGCAUAUACCAACUGAAAUCCCCAAUUCUCUCCGCAUCAACAGACAUAAAAUUAAUGAUCUCCCCAGUAGAAUGACCCUGCUUUGACUGGCAGGAAAGAGUCAAACCCUUGUUGUAGAUCAUUGUGAUCAGUACUGCUCUGAUCCUAAUUCCAACCUGCUGCAAUCUAAAGAACCAGUGCCUCACUGAAAGGCGCUCAACAAGCUUCGCAACAAAAAAAGCCAUAGCCAAAAGAUAGCCUUCAUUUUUGAAUUCCCUCCGCCCAUUGAGAUAUUGAACGAAGGUAUCAAUAAGAUAGGGCCCAACAUAAGAUGCUAAUGUCUUUACAAGUACCAAGAAAGCCGUCAAUAGGAUUUCUGCCCAGCAUGCAAAGAUCAAUGCUUUCACCAGCUUAAGCGUGGUCACUCCACUACUUCCACCACUAUCACACUGGAGCUUAUUACUAAAUGCUGGAAAGACCCCCGCAACGCUGUUGCUGGUAUCAAGCUGAGGAACAUCCUCAAGGUCUAAUGUUUUCUUGUUACCCUCAGCAAUCAAGGGACCGAUCCAAGAGAAAGUAAGAAGGCUAAAAAAACCAGCUUUUGAAAAGGGGGUCACAGUUGCUUCCCCCUUGGAUUUAUUGGACUCCACUCUACUUAUACUGGUACUACCAUUCAAAAGGGGUUCCCUAAGAAUCGAUUCCUCGCCUUGAUUCUUUCCCAAAAACCCCGAGUAGCACAAGAACAGACCAGUUAUGACGUAGACAAUAUCGGGCACCAAAUAUUGAAUUCGUAGGGACUGGUGUUUCUUGACAAUAUCUAGAACAAGGAAAUAACAUGAGAUGGAGAAGUAAAAUCCCCACCAAACUCUUAACAAAAAUGGGAACUUUGGUUCAACAGAACCAAUGAAUUGAGUGUGCAAAUAUACACAGACUGCUCCCCAGGCAAGUGUUCUGAGCACUAAAUCCAAAAGGGUCACCAGCCUUUCAUCAGACCAGCCAUUUCUAUACCAAUAAAAGUAGUUCAAAAAACACAACAACAAAUUCAACAGCGACAGACCCUGACAGCAAGCAAACGUUUGCUUAUAGUACAAAAACCUAGUCCUCUUACAAUUUUCAGGAGCACCCCCCUUGAUUCUCUUGCACACCCAUGAUACAAACAGGAGAAGCAACAAAACUAGAUGCAAUGAGGCAGAAAAUACACGUAAAAAGACGGGGUUUAGCAGAAAACCGGUACCAGGAUACGUAACCAUGGCUUCGAAUCCCACCAUUUUUUGAGAAUCUUUGGCCUCUGCUAAAAGUGUAUUUUGGAGGUGUGCUUAUGAAUCGAAAGGGAUGAUUUCUGGUGCUUUAUAUACGAAAAAUAAGACGGUAUUUCCCCGGUUUUAAGAGUGUAUUCCACAAAGUAAGUCAGUCAAAGGAUAUUUCCUUGGGCGCGGGAUAACUUGGCAGCCAAGCUUCAGUUGACGGAGAUAGUAAAUUUCUAAUGGCUAUGAGAGAACUCGAAUUGGUGAUGGAAAACAAAGAUCAGACCAAUUUAACUAUCCCUCAAGGAUAUAAAUAUUUGAGAAAUUCUUUUCUACUAUCUUAUUUUCAAUAAUAUUUCUUGGAGACAAAUUUCAAACAACCAUGAUAAAAUAAAUAAAUAAAUAAAUAAAAAAGUUUAUUUAGCACUUUAAUUUUAAUUAUUAUUAUUUAUUUAAAUUUAAAUUCAAUUAUGAAAUUUCUUUUCCUUUUAAGUAGAAAAUGAAUUGAAUCCCCCUUUCAUCAUCACAAUGACUAUAUUUAUUAAAAGUCAAAAUUAUAGGAGUCAUAAUUGGCUGUUUAUCUUGUCAUCUUGUGUUUUGCUUCUAAACAACCCGUCAAAAAAUAACCUUAAAAAUAGGCUACACAAAAUGUGGAGAUUCCAAAAUAUUGGUUUUAUAUAUGUAUAUAUUUAUCUUUUUGGGGUAGAGCAUGUUGAUAUCCAUGAAAGACAAAAUACUUUCUGCUCCACCAUCUGGCUGGAAAGUCCCACUUUGGCGGACCACAGGAGGGUCGGGAUUCACAGGAACCACAAAGCCUUGAAAAUUAGGGCCACUCACAUGACUUUAUAUGCAACAAUGACAUAUAACCAAUUCCCUAUUUAUGAUGCCACUGAUUUUCUAGCCACGUGUUUGACUAUUGAAUAAUUAUUGUGGAAUUAUUUUCUUUUGAUGUAUGUAUCGUGUAAGUUUCUAAAAGUUAAAAAUGGGUUCACUUUUAGUGAUUUACACUUAAAAGGAAUUGAAGUUCUGAAAUGUUGGAGAAGAACUUCAAGGGGAAAUUUUAAAAUAAGGAAGUGAUGAUAUGAUUAAGAUAGUUAGGGUAAAGAUUAAAAAUUAGAUUUAUGGUUAAUCAUAAUGUUUUCAAAAUCGGAUCGGUCAUUAAACCGGAAAAGUUACCGGUUCAUGGUUCAUUGGUCGGACCGAUGAUCGAACUACGAUCGAAUUGACGAUUGAGGCGUGAUCGAAUCAGUGAUGUCAUAAAUAUAUAAUUUAUAAAUGAUUAAAAUUUAAAAAAAUUAUAAAAAAAUUAUAUAUUAUUUAAAAAUUUAAAUUUUAUUUAAAAGUCAGAAAAGUAGUUUCAAAUUAGAAAUUUAAAUUAAAACCAUAAUUUUAAUUUAAAAUUUAAAUAAAAAACUUAUUUUAAAAUAAAAAAUUUAUUUAAAAUUGUAAUGUUUUUAAUUUUACCAUCAAAUUAUAUCUCAUACCAUCCAUGUAAAUCCAUAUAAAAGGCAUUUUUUACUUUAUCAAUUUCAGCUCCCAAUCUCCACAACACCGUUGCUUUGAAGACUAAUAAAUAAACAAAAAAAGAAAAAUUUUUAAAAAUUGAAUAUUAAACAUAAUGUCAUAAUAAAAAAACUCAUUAAAAUUAUUAAAUAUAAAACAUAAAAAAUAAUUUUCAAAAUAUCAACUUGCAACUACUAGGCAGAGUCGGAAGACACACACAGUCGGGUUUUCAAGAGAGGCGCUUUGAUUGGGGGAUGGUUCUAACGGGUUUUGCGUCGGGACGACCGAGAGGGCGGGUAGGCGAUGUAACGAUCGAGGAAACCGCCGAUGGGAACUGGUGUAGGUGUUGUAGUGUGUUAGGGGGUAGUAGCUUCUUUACCUUCGGUUCAGAUGGAGAAGGAAGGGUUAAGGUGUUUUUAUGUCACGCCCCAAGACCCAUUCCAAGGGCGUGACGGUCAUUUCACACCUCAAACCUAGAGGGUUAAAGUGUAACUUGACCCAAACAAUUAUCUUGUAACUGAAAGUUACCAAUUACCAAAUACUUGUUCAGAGUAGCGGAAUAAAAUUCUAAAAUCUUCAAAACUUAACUUUAAAACUAAGCAUCCAUCAACCAAAAUCCAUUAUCCAAAUAGAUUGCGAACUCAAACAAUUCAAGUGCUAACAAAAUUUUCAUAAUCUCCAAAUCUCAACUUCAAACUAUCAUAAAAAAAAUUUAAAAGUUCAAUAUCUAAAUAGCUUCCAAAAACCAAAUAAUCCAAAUGAACAUAAACUUAUAAGCUAACAAUGUCCAAAAAUAACAUCCUAAGCAAAAUCCUAAUGAUGACCAUUCCCCAUCCUAGCCAUCACUCCUCGCCCAAACUAAGAGGACCUGAAAAGUAAUCAAUAAAGGGGAAUGAACUCAAAGUCUAAUAAAGAAUAUUAAUACAGUUUCAUGGAUUAAAUAGUUUCAAUCGUGCUUACAAAUAGGAGAUUUAGUGUAAAAUCAUUUUCAUAAAAACGUUUGAGUACAAAUAUACUAAUACAUUUUAAGGUGUUUAACCAAACAUUUUCCAAUAUAUGAAAAUCAUUUUAUAUCCAUUUCAAUUCAAAUACAUUUCAAUUGUUUUCACUCUGGUUAUUAAAUAAAAAAUAGUGCCCAUUUAAGUGGGACUUUACAAAUAGGUGACUAGCCUCAAAUGUUCAUUUUAAGGUGGACGGAAUCAAACACUACUAGUACUAGUAACCUCUAACCAAACCCCUAGAGGCUGGGGUUCAAAUCAAUUACAUUUCUCACCACGAAAAUGUAAAGGUCAACUAUUAUAUCCUAUUAAGAAGGGCCAAAAACUCAACUAUUAUAUCCUAUUGACAAAGGCUAAACAAACCAGAGUCAAAUUCUUUAAUUUAUUUAUUCCAACUUACAAAUGCAAAAAAUCUCCAAGUAUUUCAAUAUAAACAAAAUAAAUGUUAUAACACAUUUUUCCAUACAAAAAUAUAUUUGAUUCAUGCUUAAAAGCAAAAUUAACAAUUACAUAUUUCAAACAACAUAUAUAUAUAUAUAUAUAUAUAUAUAUAUAUAUAUAUAUAUAAUAAUUUUUUUUUACAAAAUCUGUAUUAAUUUCCCUUACCUCAAAAGAAGUGGCCAAAAACUUGGAUGAAAAAUAAUUAUGGAAAAUCUACUCUUCACCUAACAAAGUAUAAGAGAAAUAAUCAUUACUAUUUAUCUAAAAUUAUAGGUUUGACAAUUCUAAAAGUUUAGGUAUUCAAAUUAAUGUUUUUAAUUAUGAAAUAUAAUUUAAUCUAUUCAUAUUUUAGAAAAAUUAAUAAAUUUCAAAUUCAUAUAAAACUUAAAUUUUAUUUUCAACUUAUUUCUUAGGACACAACAUAAUUUAAUUAAACUACAAUUUAUUCUACUAAUUAAAUUUUAUGUUACUUAUUAACUUACACUCAUCAUUAGUAUAAUAAUAUUGAUAACUUACUUUCAGUUUUUUUUUUUUUUUUCACUAAACAUAAAUUGUAUCCCCAACAAUUCUCCAUUAUUGCUAACAUAUAUAUAUAUAUAUUAACCACCAAACACCAUCUAUACACAUCUUCCUUUAUUAUUAAUAUUACUAUAUAUUUUUUCUUUUCACCAUUCUCCAUCUUCCACAAGCACGCAUUCUUAUUUCUUUCUUUCUUUUUUUAAAAAAGAACUUCCUCUAGUGCACAUGUGUUCUCUUUUUUUCUUUUUUUUUUCCUAAUAUCUUCUUAUCCCUUAAGCCACAUAUAACAAUAUAUUUAUUUGCUCAUUUAUUUUUAUAUUGUUUAAAAAAUUGAUUACUUAGAUCUAUUCAUCUAAGAAAUUUUGAAUUUCCCUAUUUUCAUCAAUAGAACAAUCUAAUUCCUAAUUUCAAUAAAAGUUUUAAAUAGGUUAACUCUAACCUAAAUUGAAAUCUUCUAGAGAAUCAUUUUUUUUUUAAACUUAAGAUUUCCCAAUUUCUAACAAUAAAACCACCAAUAAUCCUAAUUUUCCAAUAUUUUGAUAUUAAAACGAAUUAAAAAAAUAAACUAAUCCUAAUCUAAAUUUUAAAAAAAGAUUCAAAGAAUAACUAGCGUGUUCAAAACUAACUAACGAAUAUAAUAUAUUAAUUUAGUGUUAGAAUCUUACCUAGAAAAAAAGCCUGAACUUCAACUCUGAAUCUUUAACCCUUGAGCCCUACGAUCUCCAACUCUUUACUUUUGGUUGAUAGGGUUUUUUGAAUGAAGAAGACAAGAGAAAAAAUCCAACUUAUACCUAGGAUUUUUAAUUGUAAAAGCACUCUUUCACCUUAAUGAAUUUAAUUAAUUACUUAAUUACUUAAUUACUUUAUAAAUUACUAGUUUGCCCCUAUUUUAAAUUUUGGGGUGUUACAUCCUCCUUCCUUAAAAAAGUUUAGUCCUCUAAACUUGACAUACUUGGGUCUUGAAAAAGAUGUGGGUGCUUUUCUCUCAUCUCCUCUUCUAAUUGCCAAGUGGCUUCUCGAAUAUUGUGAUUGCUCCAUUGGAUUUUUACUAACUUGACAACAACAUGACGUAGUAUCUUGUCCAUCACAUCCACAAUCUGAACGGGCACCUCUUCAUAGGUCAAGUCCGCAGAAAUUUGAAUAGGCUCCAACUCCACAACAUAAGAGGGAUCAUAAAUAUAUUUCCUCAAAGUCAAAACAUGAAAUACAUUAUGAAUCUUAGAUAGACUUAGGGGCAAGGCCACUUUAUAAGCCAAAGUGCCUAUUCUUUUUAAUACCUUAAAUGGUCCUACAAAACGAGGACCGAGUUUCCCUUUUAUUUCAAAUCUCAUUAUAGACUUCAUAGGUGAAACUUUCAAGAAAACAUGAUCAUCCCCUCAAACUCCAAAUCUCGUUUGCAAUUAUCAACAUAACUCUUCUGUCUACUUUGUGCUGCUUUCAAUCUUUCUUUAAUUAAAGAGACCUUUUCAACUGUCAACUGCACAAGUUCGUGCCGCAAAAUUUUAUUCUCUCCAACAUCAUCCCAACAAACAGGAGAUCGACAUCUCCUACCAUAUAACGCCUUAAAAGGUGUCAUCCCAAUGCUAGCUUGAAAGUUAUUGUUAUAGGCAAACUCCACUAGGGGCAAAUAAUCAUCCCAAUUACCUUUUAGGUCUAAAGCACAAGAUCUCAACAAAUUUUCCAAGACCUGAAUUACCCUCUCUGAUUGACCAUCAGUUUGCGGAUGAAAAGUAGUACUAAAACUUAACUUAGUACCUAAUGUUUUCUGUAAACUAUGCCAAAAUCUAGAAUUGAAACGAGGAUCUUUGUCAAAUACUAUAGAAACAGGUACACCAUGCAUUCUCACAAUCUUCUUAAUAUAAAGAGAAGCCAAACGAUCCAUAGAAAAAUUGACUUUCAUAGGCACAAAAUGAGCAGACUUUGUCAGUCGAUCCACAAUUAUCCAAAUAGGAUUAUUACCCCCUAAGGUUCUUGGCAACCCUAUUACAAAGUCCAUGGUAAUAUGUUCCCAUUUCCAUUCAGGAAUAGAAAUUGGUUAUAAUGAUCCUGUUGAUUGUUGAUGCUCAAUUUUCACCUAUUGGCACACCAAACACUGAGUCACAAAUCUUGCAAUAUCCCUCUUCAUACUUGGCCACCAAUAAUUUUGCUUCAAAUCUCUAUACAUCUUCGUCUUUCCUGGGUGGAUCGCAAACUUAGAACAAUGAGCUUUCUCCAAUAGCUCUCUUUUUAAAUCUCCAUCAUUUGGGACACAAAGUCUAGUCUCAAAUCUCAAAAUCCCAUCAUCUGAUAAGACAAAGUUAGGCUUAAUACCCCUCUUAACUUCCUUUGUAAGCCGCACUAAUUGCAUAUCAUUCUUUUGUAGGGUCUUAAUUCUCCCAACCAAGUCUAGUUGGACUCUAAAGUUUGCCACAAGAGCUCCCGAGUCCAAAACUCUUAUAUGGACUUGUAAACUCCUCAAAUAUUCCAAUAAUUGCCUCUAACAACCUCUAAUAGCUACUAAGGAACCAAGAGAUUUCUUGCUUAAGGCGUCAGCCACAACAUUCGCCUUCCUUAGGUGAUACUGAAUAAUGCAGUCAUAGUCUUUAAGUAGUUCAAUCCACCUCCUCUGUCUCAUGUUCAAUUCCUUUUGGGAAAAUAAAUACUUCAAACUCUUAUGAUCUGUGAAUAUCUCACAAGUUUCACCAAAAAGAAAAUGUCUCCAGAUCUUAAGUGCAAAAACCAUUGCAGCUAACUCCAAAUCAUGAGUAGGAUAAUUUUGGUCAUAAUGCUUCAAUUGUCUAGAAGCAUAAACUACAACUUUCCCAUGUUGCAUAAGAACACAACCCAAACCCAGACGAGAGGCAUCACUAUACACCACAAUCCCUCCUAAGCCUAAAAGGAUAGUCAAAAUAGGAGUUGUCAUUAAUUUGUUAUUUAACUCUUGGAAACUACGUUCACAAUCAUUAGACCACUCAAACUUAACCCUUUUUUGAGUUAACCUGGUUAGAGGUAGGGUGAUCUUAGAGAACCCUUCAAUAAACUGCCUAUAAUAACCAGCUAGUCCUAAGAAACUUCGAAUUUCGGUCACAGUAUUAUGUCUCCUCCAAUUUGACACAACAUCUACCUUUCCAGGGUCAACAGAGACGCCAUCCUUGGUCACCACAUGCCCAAGGAAAGAGACUUUGUCUAACUAGAACUCACACUUCUUUAGUUUAACAUACAAUUGCUUAUCUCUGAGAGUUUGCAAUACAAUACUCAAAUGGCGCUCAUGCUCCUCCCUACUCUUUGAGUAUACCAAAAUAUCAUCUAUAAAAACCACCACAAACUGAUCUAGAUAGGGCUUGAAUACUCUAUUCAUUAAGUCCAUAAAAGCAACAGGUGCAUUAGUAAAACCAAAAGGCAUAACUAAAAACUCAUAAUGCCCAUAUCUAGUUCAAAAAGCAGUCUUGGGUACAUCUUCACUUCUAACCUUUAACUAAUGAUAACCAAACUGAAGAUUAAUCUUAGAGAACACACAUGCACCCUAAAGUUGAUCAAACAAAUCAUCAAUCCGAUGAAAGGGAUAAUUGUUCCUCAUCGUCACCUUAUUCAACUCUCUAUAAUCAAUACAGAGUCUCAUAGAUCCAUCAUUCUUCUUUACAAAUAAAACAGGAGCUCCCCAAGGUGAAACACUAGGCCUAAUGAAGCCUUUAUCUAACAACUUCUAAAGUUGAAUCUUCAACUCCUUAAGCUCCAUAGGUGUCAUCCUGUAAGGGGUCUUAGAGAUAGGAGUUGUCCUUGGUGCUAAAUCAAUGGUGAAAUCCACCUCCCUCUCUAGUGGCAAGCCAGUUAGAUUCUUUGGAAAGACAUCAAGAUAGUCCCUUACAAUGGGUAUGUCUUCCAACUUUAAAUCAUUUUUCUUAUUCACAACAUAAACCUAAAAGCCUUGACAACCUUUCUUGAGCAAAGAACUAGCUCGCAAGGCUGAGAUCAUAUGCAAUGGUUUGUCCACAUGCUUCCCCUCAAAACAAAAAUCAGCCUGACCAGAAAUGCUAAAUGUCACUCUUUUCCCAAAACAAUCAACAAAUGCAUGGUAUGAAGCUAACCAAUCCAUUCCCAAAAUCACAUCAAAAUCCUCGAGGUCAAAAAGUACUAAGUCAACUAUCAUCUCUCUAUACCCAAUCAUCACACAACAAUCUCUAAGUAUUUUAUUAACCACAACAAAAUCUCCAAAUGAGUAGCAACAAAUAAAUCAAAGUCCAUGUUAUCCAUCAACAUACCUAACAAACCAUCAAAAGAUACAGAAACAAAAAAGUGUGUUGAACCAGGAUCAAUUAAGGCUUUGACAAAUAAGGUAUGAAUUCGAAGAGUGCUUGUUACCACAUCAGAAGUAGCUUGAGCAUCUCUAUGAGUCAUAGCAACCCGCCCUUGAGCCUUGGGCUUCUGUUUAUCCUUUUUAUUCUCCUCCUUAGGCUUCCCAAAUACAAACUUCUUAUUCUUUAGGCAAUCUCAAACCAUAUGUCCCUGUUUUCCACAACCAAAGCAAUCUCCUAUCUCUCUAUAGUAUGGCUUACCCCCAUGUUUCUUGCCACAAGUAGGACAAAUCCCAUCUAAAUUUUAUGCUGCUUUUCUUUUAUUCUGAUUUCCACUUGGAGCAGACUUUUUCUAUGCUUGGUUACCAUGAACACCAUUCUAUUCCUAUUCCUUUGUUGUUCCCUAUACUGGUGAAGCUCUUCAUUAUCCUUCUUUGCAAUAAGGGCUAUAUCUACCACCUAUGAAUAAACUCUAAGCUUCAUAAUUGAUAUCUUAUUCUUCAGAUAAGGCUUCAGUUCAUCUUGAAACUUUAAUGCUUUUUCCUCCUCUAGGCAAUCAACUGUGGGGCAAAACGUGAUAGUUCGGUAAACUUAGCCUCAUACUAGGCCACAAUCAAAUUCCCCUAUUCCAAACGGACAAACUCUCCCACCUUUUGUUGUCGAACACUGUCAGGAAAGUACUUCUUAUAAAAAGCCUCUUUAAACUAACUCCAAACAAUAGGCCCCUGAUCCUCCAAAAGCCUCAUAGUCAUGCGCCAUCAAUGGUCUGCCUCUUUGUCUAACAUAAAUGCUGCAUAAGAUUUGCUCCUCAGAAUAAUUAAUGACAUCAAAGAAUUUCUCUAUCUUCAUAAUCUCAGCCUAUGCCUCUGUUGGAUUUGAAGUACCAGAAAAGUAAGGGAGACCCAACUUCUUAAAGUCAUCAAAGAAGCUACCCCUAGUAGAUGAGGAUUGUCCUUGACCAUUACUUCCAGUAGCUCUAGCCUGACGCUUAACCAAGCUAGCCAAAGUCCCUAAAUAUCUGUAAAGACCUUCAAUACUCAUAGGGGGCAAAGCCUCAAGUGGAGGAGUUAUAUCAUCAUUAGGCUAACUGUUUUGGGAAGAUGCAGGUCUCCUUAGUGGCAUGUUGUCCUAUAAAGCAACAGGUAUAAUUAAAUUAGUCACUAAGAAGCCAAAUAAGCAAAUCAAAAUUGUAAGGAAUAAAAGGAAUCGGACUAGAUGAAGUUGAAACUUAAACUAAUGCAUCACUCAUCUAUUCCCAAAUGUAAACUAAACAAGUUCUCAUUAAGAUCACAACCUGGUGCUCUAAUACCACAUUGUCACGCCCCAAGACCCACUCUAAGGGCGUGACGAUCAUUUCACACCUCAAACCCGAAGGGUUAAAGUGUAACCUUACCCAAACAAUUAUCUUGUAAUUGGAAGUUACCAAUUACCAAAUACCUGUUUAGAGUAGCGGAACAAAAUUCUAAAAUCUUCAAAACUUAACUUUAAAACUAAGCACAUCAACCAAAAUCCAUUAUUCAAAUAAAUUGCAAACUCAAACAAUUCAAGUGCUAACAAAAUUUUCAUAAUCUUCAAAUCUCAACUUCAAACUAUCAUAAAAAAAUUUAAAAGUUCAAUAUCUAAAUAGCUUCCAAAAACCAAAUAAUCCAAAUGAACAUAAACUUAUAAGCUAACAAUGUCCGAAAAUAACAUCCUAAGCAGAAUCCUAAUGAUGACCAUUCCCCAACCUAGCCAUCACUCCUCGCCCGAACUAAGGGUACUUGAAAAGUAAUCAACAAAAUGGAAUGAACUCAAAGCCCAAUAAGGAAUAUUAAUACAGUUUCAUGGAUCAAAUAGUUUCAAUCAUGCUUACAAAUAGGAGAUUUAGUGUAAAAUCAUUUUCAUAAGAACGUUUGAGUACAAAUAUGCUAAUACAUUUUAAGGUGUUUAACCAAACAUUUUCCUAUAAAUCAAAAUCAUUUCAUAUCCAUUUCAAAUUAAAUACAUUUCAAUUGCUUUCACUCUAGUUAUCAAAUAACAAAUAAUGCCCAUUCAAGUGAGACUUUACAAAUAGGUGGCUAGCCUCAAAUGUUCCUUUUAAGGUGGACGGAACCAAACACUACUAGUACUAGUAACCUCUAACCAAACCCCUAGAGGCUAGGGUUCAAAUCAAUUACAUUUUUCACCAUGAAAAUGUAAAGGUCAACUAUUAUGUCCUGUUAACAAGGAUAAAAAAGUCAACUAUUAUAUCCCGUUGACAAGAGCUAAACAAACCAGAGUCAAAUUAUUUAUUUUAUUUAUUCCAACUUACAAAUGUAGAAAAUUCCCAAGUAUUUUGAUAUAAACAAAAUAAAUGUUAUAAAACAUUUUUCCAUACAAAAAUAUAUUUGAUCCAUGCUUAAAAGCAAAAUUAACAAGUACACAUUUCAAACAACAUAUAUAUAUAUAUAUAUAAUUAUUUUCUUUUGCAAAAUCUGUAUUAAUUUCCUUUACCUCAAAAGACGUCCUCAAAAACUUGGAAGAAAAAUAAUUAUGGAAAAUCUACUCUUCACCUAACAAAGUAUAAGAGAAAUAAUCAUUACUAGUUAUCUAAAAUUAUAGGUUUGAAAAUCCUAAAAUUUUAGGUAUUCAAAUUAAUGUUUUUAAUUACGAAAGAUAAUUUAAUCUAUUCCCAUUUUAGAAAAAAUAAUAAAUUUCUAAUUCAUAUAAAACUUAAAUUUUAUUUUCAAUUUAUUUCUUAGGACACAACAUAAUUUAAUUAAACUACAAUUUAUUCUACUAAUUAAAUUUUAUGUUGCCUAUUAACUUACACUCAUCAUUAGUAUAAUAAUAUUGAUAACUUCUAUUCUCUCACUUUCAGUUUAUUUUUUUUUUUCACUAAACAUAAACUGUAUCCCCAACAAUUCUCCAUUAUUGCUAACAUAAUAAUAAUAAUAAUAAUAAUAAUAUAUAUAUAUAUUAACCACCAAACACCAUCCGUACACAUCUUCUUUUAUUAUUAAUAUUACUAUAUUUUCUUUUCUUUUCACCAUUCUCCAUCUUCUACAAGCACGUUUUUUUUUUUAAAAAAAAAAAAAACUUCCUCUAGUGCACACACGUUCUCUUUCUUUUUUUUCCUAAUAUUUUCUAAUCCCUUAAGCCACAUAUAAAAAUAUAUUUAUUUAUUCAUUUAUUAUUAUUUAAAAAAAAAAUUCAUUACUUAGAUCUAUUCAUCUAAGAAAUUUUGAAUUUCCCUAUUUUCAUCAAUAGAAUAAUCUAUAUUUCUAAUUUCAAUAUUUUGACCUAAAAGUUUUAAAUAAGUUAACCCUAGCCUAAAUCGAAAUCUUCCAGAGAAUCAUUUUUUUUUUUUAACUUAAGAUUUCCCAAUUUCUAACAAAAAAACCACCAAUAAUCCUAAAUUUCCAAUAUUUUGAUAUUAAAAUGAAUUAAAAAAAUAAACUAACCCUAAUCUAAGUUAAAUUUUUUUUGAAAGAAUAGCUAGCGUGUUCAGAACUAACUAACAGAUAUAAUAUAUUAAUUUAGGGAUAGAAUCUUACCUGGAAAAAAAACCUAAACUUCAACUCUGAAUCUCUAACCCUUGAGCCCUAUGAUCUCCAAUUCUCUACUUUUGGUUGAUAGGGUUUUAUGAAUGAAGAAGACAAGAGGAAAAGUCCAAUUUAUACCUAGGAUUUUUAAUUGUUAAAGGACUCUUUCACCUUUAAUGAAUUUAAUUAAUUACUUAAUUACUUUAUAAAUUACUAGUUUGCCCCUAUAUUAAAUUUUGGGGUGUUACAUUUUAUAUCCUCCAAAAUGGUGUCAUUUAGAUACUAUAAAUAUUUCAAAAAAAUAAAAAAUUAAUUGAACUGUCUGGUUCGUUGGCCGGACCAUUGGUUCAACCAGUUCGAUUCCGAUUCAACCUAUGUCUGAACCAAUUGACAAGACCGGACUGGAACCGUGACCAGUAGACGGUCAGACUAGCCGAUUCGGUCCAAUUUUUAAAUCCAUGGUUAAUCAUCCAUGGAGGGGUGGUGUUGCAUAAAAUUUGAGUCCACCAUAUCUAGGCAUGCUCAAUCAUAUAAAUUUAUAUAACACUCCACAUCAAGCAUAUUAGGAGAAUGAUAAAAUCAUCACAUCUCAAUCAUCUAUUAUUGAAACUCCUAUAAUGUUGUAAAAUUUAAGAAAAAACAUAUUUUUAAACAUCUUCAAAUAUUGGGUGUAUGUUAUUCUAUUUAUUAUAUGAACAUUUGAGAGACUUUACUGGAAUUUUUAUUUUUUAUUUUUACUAUGAAUAUCAUAUUUAUUUGUGUAAAACUUUUGAUUUAAAUAUUUGUUUUAACUUGAGAAUUUAAACUCUUCAACAAAGGUAAUCUCAUUUAGCUUUCUAUUUAUUGUAGCCUUGCAACUAAUAUCUAGUUUCAAGUUGAAAUUUUUGUUAAGAGAGAAUUCUAGGCUACUGACCGAAAUUUCUCUAUUGUACCAAAAUACUUAGCCUUUUUACGUAGUAACUCUGGUCAAGAAGAACUAGAGAAAGAGUCACUACGACUUUUGUAGUAUUCUGGGUAUCGUUCUCAAGGACUGGCUUAUGAAAAUUGUCAAUACUAGAAUAAAUGAAUUGUUUUGGUUUAAAUCCUUAAGUGAAAAACAAUAUGUGAAUAAUGUGAAACUAAGUAAAAAAAGUUAAAUUAAUAAGAAAAAAAUGAAUAUUGAUUUUAAAUUCAAUUGAUUCAAGUUUGGGGUUUUCCACAAUCCAACCUAGGGUAUAGAAAUUAGAGAAAACAAGGGUAUUUUAAGUAAUAUGAUCUUAGGGUUUUGGGAUCCUUGGCCACUCGCGAUCAAGUUGAGUUCUAUAACUCAAAAUUGCAUCCGAAACCUAAUUUUUCCUUUUUAAAACAGAUUCCUAAAACCAUCAAAUGAAUGAGAUUGAUUAUCAAUUUAAGAUUUGGCUUUUUAACCAUUCCUACUCCUUAUAGCUUUGUUUAGGGGCAAAUAACGGUAGGUAAGAUGAGGAUAACUAAUGAUCAAGAAUUACCAAGAAUCACUAGUAUCAACUAAUAACCUACCGUAUCAUUCCCUAAACGAACUCACAAGGAUAGGAUAAAAAAAAAUGAUAAAUUGUCACUCAACCAAUAAUUAAUCUCAUUGUUAUAAUAAUUUACCCAUUGUCCCUAUAGGUUUCCUAGCCCUUAGGUUUUCAUGCUUCAAGCCCCAAGUUGGCUCUUAGCCUCUCAUGGGGGUGAUGUCACAUUCACAAUCCAUAAUAGGGUAAAAAUCCAUAAUUUGAAUCAAAAGAAACUAAAAACAAUAUAUUCAAUAAAGGAGAAAAAGAAAACAAACCAAAGUUCUCGUCUUCUUCUUCCUUCAAUGUCCAACUCUCCAGAAAAAAAUCCAAGAUUCCUAAAACCUAGAAUUGAGAGAGUUUAUAUAAUAUCCUUAAUUACUUAACAUGUGGCACACUCUCAUUGGCCACUUAUUACAAAAUAAUUUCCUAAAAAUGAUUAAAAAAAUAAUAAAAUGGUGAUUUCUAGUCGUGUGGGGUCCACCUAGGGCGGAUGGAGUUCUUUAGAUGCAAUUCCCGAGGUAGAGGAGGCGGAACAGCAAAGUGGUAGUGGGUGAAUUCGAAAUUGGUGUCAUUUCGAAGUGGAUUUCGAAUUCAUAAGUUGAAUAGAUGCAAUUCCCGGGGUAGAGGAGGCGGAACAUCAAAGUGGCAGUGGGUGAAUUCGAAGUGGAUUUCGAAUUCAUAAGUUGAAUUUCGAAAUCAUAAGUUGAGUUUCGAAAUCAUUUCGAAAUGACCCUCUAGUUUGGUGCAGUUGUCUUCAAAUGGCCAUAACUUCUUCAUUUCAGCUCCGAUUUGCAAACCGUUUGAAGCGUUGGACUGCUGACUUCCCAAGCUUCGAAAAGAUAUAUAGUAUGUAUAUAAUGGACUUCAGAAAGUGCUCCAAAUUUGUCCUCAAAGUUAGAGUAUAUAAUGUCAUAAGAUUUUUGAGUUCUAAAUUUUCAUGCAGCUAAAUCUUGCUUCAUGCCUCAUUUCCCACGCUUUCUUGCCUUCUUUCUUACUCCAUAAUGGUCAUUUAUCAUCUUCCAACCUCAUGAUAUCCUUGUUUUGCCUUUCUUUACGUUCAAUGAGUCUUGACUCACUUAUUUCCUCAUUUAGCCCUUUUUUGAUCUUUCAAAAUCUAAAGUCAUUCAAUUUGCACAAUUUUCUUCCCUUGAACCUGAGAUAAGUCUCCAAAGUACAAAUUAAACUCAUGGUUAGGGCCUUAGCAUUGAUUUAGGUCAAGUUGGGUGAUUUGAAUGUCCUUUGGUGUACAAAUCAUAUCAAAUAUGUACCAUUAGAGCACAUAUUUUGGCUCCAAUCAUUCCCCUCAACCUAAACUUUGCUAGUCCCUAGCAAAUGAAAAGAGUAAAAAAGAAUGAAAAAUAUGUAAUGAGAUUCAUUAAACCAUAUUAACUCAACAUAACAUGUUUCACACACAAGAUACCCAAGUAGACAAAUUUCCUAGAAUUGAGCAAGAUGACACAAGAUAUGCAAUUUCUUAGUUUUCUCACCUUAUCUUCAUAUACAUAAAUGUGCAUCCAUGUUUAGCAUUCCCCUUAGUGCCUCUUGAUUUUCCCUUGAUUGGUUCUUUCCACCUAAACCUCAUGUGCUUAAUUUUGGUGUCCCCUCAUAGAAUUUUUCUUAAGACUUUUUCUUAAACUCAAAUUUCAUCAUUCUUUAAGUUAAAGAGGAGGAAAAUUUAUUUUGAUUUUUCUUUCUUAGUUUAGGGAAUCUCCUUCUAUAUGGCUUAAUAGGGAUCCACCGGCAACUCCCGAGUUUUCACCCAAGGUACUAGGUAUUGAUUUGAUGCAACUCAUGGUACCUUAGCUUUAAAGGCGUAUCAACAAAAUUUAUACCUUGAAUACUAUUACUAAAGUAGCCAAGCUACUAUAGCAUAGUGGUUCUAGGAUCGUUCACUGGGAAGGGUUUUCGCAAACACUAGUGAUAUUCAAAUUAGGAAAAUAGGUGAUUUUCUUAUGGAUGUUAGCUUUAAAAGAAGAUGUAAAUGUUUUAGAAAGAUUUAAACUAAUCUAAGCUAACAUUAAAGACUAAAAUGAAAGGGUGUAAAAACAAGUUUCUCAAAGAUAGGAUAGCUAUGCUCUGGUUCUUAUGCAAAUUGGAAAUCUCAGGAUAGGCUCCUCGCGUUGGGGUUGCAACUAUGGUGAUGCUUGCUUCCCGAACUGGUAUGGAUUUAGCAAAUCAAGUUUUAAUCCUUUAAAAUGACAAAACAGAUGGUAGUGAAUUUCAUCAAUGGUUAUUCACCUUAGACUUCCUUUGAAUGGCUCGUAAGAGAUAACUAAUGGUCUAAAGCCAAAAGCUUACCAAAUAUUGGCAACUCAAAGUCAUUCCAGGUGAUAAACUCACCUUUCAAUGGCCAUUGAAAUUGGUUCUAACGGAUUAAUGCAAAACUUGGAAUUGAAAACCUCACCUUCCAAUAGCUCGUAGGAGAUAACUAAUGGAUAGAAAUCCAAAAGCUUAUCAAGUAUUGGCCGUUGGAAGUUGUCCAAAGGAAAUAAAAACCAAACUUUGCAUUAAUGAACCUUUAAUGAAAAACGUCUACCUUACCUUCCGGGUGCGAGAAAUUUCCAUGGGAUUGCAUCCAAGCCAUCACAUAACAUCCAUACUUUGAGAAACUAAAAGUUUUAGCCAAUCAUCCUCUGAGGAAAAGCCCUCAGAGGCUGUUUGGCUUCCAAGAAAAUAAAAUAGUAAAGAGAAAAGAGAGACGAGACGAGAGAGCUCUGUAUAUAUUCUAAGUGUAAAACGUAACCUAUGUUCUAUAUAUUCCAAGAGGUGAUUUCCACCCCUUAUAUAGUCUUUACAAAAGCAAAAGCUUGUGAUUGGUUAGUUACAAGGAUAAGAAAGGAAAUUAAAUUAGAAAAUACAAAGGAAAAUAUCUAAAGUGGAGUCGGCAAAAGCAGAGGAAAAUUCGCAACACGCAUGGGUUAUGCGAAUUUUGAAGGUGUUAUGCGAAAUUUUCGCAUAACUUGGAGCAGUUGGCUUCCGAAGGCCAUAUCUUCCUCAUUUCAACUCCAAAUCAUGCAUGGUUUGAAGCGUUGGAUUCUUGACUUCCAGAGAUUUGAAAUGGUAUACAGUAUGUAAAAAAUGGACUUCGGGAAGUGCUCCAAAAGUUCUAAAGAAGACUACAGCUGCUGUCCUCUUUGCUUCUCUUCACUUUGCUUGCUUUUCCUCUUUUCCAUUGUUCUUUCCUUGCAUACUUUGAACGACUUUGGCAAAGGGCUAUGGAGCUCCAAAGCUUGGUUCUUCAUGAAUUUGAGCUUCCAAAAUCUUUGCCAUAACUUGUCCAAGUAGCUCCUCCAUCAUUUGGCAUGCUUGAAUUGAUUCAUAAGCUGAUAAAAACAUGUAAACUUGCCACAAAAUGGUUAAAACCAAUUACUAAGGACCUUAAUGGAUUAAUUGGGUUAAAUGAAUAUGAUUACUACUCAAAGGUGCUUAAAACCAUUAUAAUUAGGUCUACAAAAUAGCACUUUUUGGUAGUAAUCACAGGUAUUGAGGACCUUUAUAGGCCACUUACCCCUCAGGUAUCACCCUAGCUCAAGGUAGAACAAGGUCGAAUUUCCCAAACAUUUUUUUUUCUUUUUUCAUUUAUCUGUUUUUUUUUUUUCAAAACUGAGUUUAGCUUAUGUAAAGAGCAAGAUACCGAUGACUCCUAACCAGUUGGUUUCGGGCACUAGGGUUUGAAGACAGAAGGCCAUUACCCCCUCAGAUAAUUGCUCAAGCUUAAAUCAGUCAUUUUCAAUUUUUUUUUUCAUUUCCUCAUUUUAUUGCUUAAGAACAACUCUUUUUAAGCUAAAGAAAUUAUCUUAAUCAAGAUACCAUAAGGGUACACGUGCUUUGUGUGUGCUUUGAGUCUUAAAUAGAAAAUAACCAUCAAAGAAAAAUUGAAGGUAUUAUAAGGAUUCAACCUAACUAUUUUUGCACUUAAAGAUAUAUAAAGAUAAGGUAAGUGAACUAAUACUCUUUCUCUAACUGCAUUUUUUCUCAAAUUCUAAAGAAAUAAUACUACUUAAAGCAUUCUCAUGCCAAAUAAACCAUGAGUUACCAAGGCAAAUCAAGAAUCUCAUUAGCUAACCAAAGAUGACAUGCAAACUUUUGAAAAAAAUUAGGGCUAAUAGGCUAAGAGGCCUUCCCCCCUCAAUCUAAAUUACACAUUGUCCCCAAUGUGUAGGAUAAUGGGUCAAAAGAAAGGAAAAAUGAAUAUGUUAGCUCAAGAUCAUCAAGUGAGAAGUUUGUUAUGAGGACUUCAUAUAAACUGUAGGAGCUUUGUCACCUUGAACACAUGUGAGGCUUACCUUUUCACUCCCUUGAAGUUCGCAUUUACCUAUAUCACUCGGAUGUUUGCAAGCUAAGUUGCUACAACUCAUAAACUCAUUAGUAAGUUAAAAACAACUAAAAAUAAAUAAAAAAUAAAAAAUAAAAUAAAAAAUGCUAACCAUAUUGCUAAUGACUAAUUGAAAAUGCAAAACUAAAUAAAGAAAAAUAAAUAAAUAAAAUAAAACAAAAUAAAAGUUUUACCUACUGGAUUUUCAGAAAAUGCUUCAACAUUUUUUAACAUCCCCAUCAAGAAAAUGGAGAUUCUCCUCUUGUGUCUCAAAUCUUUUAAUGAAAUGCUUUAGGCGCUGACCAUUAACUUUGAAUUCAUUACCUGUCCUCGGAUUUUGAAUGGUCACGGUGCCAUAAGGGAAGACUUCCUUUACCACAUAAGGGCCAUUCCACCUUGACCUAAGCUUUCCUGGAAAAAUGUGAAGCUUGGAGUCGUACAACAACACCUUUUCACCUUGCUUGAACUCCCUUCGUAAAAUAAGCUUGUCAUGGUAGAAUUUGUGUUUUUCCCUUGCAUUAUGUAGGCAUUUAUAACUCUCAUUUCGAUAUGCCUCAAGUUAACUCAAAUCAUAUUUCCUUUUAGCUCCAGCUUGAUCCGAAUCAAAGUUCAUCUUCUUUAUAGCCCAAUAUGCAUGAUGUUCGAGUUCUACAGGCAAAUGACAUGCUUUACCAUAAACAAUUCGGUACGGUGACAUGCCAAGGACAGUCUUAUAGGCUAUCCUAUAUGCCCAAAGUGCAUCACUCAACUUGGUAGACCAAUCUUUUCUUAUAGUAUUGACUACUUUGGUGAGGAUUCUCUUAAUUUCCCGAUUUGCUAGCUCAACUUGCCCAUUCGUUUGAGGGUGAUAUGGGGUGGACACUUUAUGCCUCACUCCAUAUUUCUACAAAAGAAUGGAAAAGGGAUUAUUACAAAAGUGUGAACCUCCAUCACUAAUGAUUGCUCUCGGAAUGCCAAACCUAGAGAAAAUAUUUUCCUUUAAAAAUUUGAGCACCACUUUGUGAUCAUUGCUCUUGCAUGCCACUGCUUCUACCCAUUUAGAGACAUAAUCCACUCCCACCAAAAUAUAUAGAUUACCAAAAGAAGGAGGGAAUGGUCCCAUAAAGUCCAGGCCCCAACAAUCAAAGACCUCAACAACACAAAUAUGAUUUUGAGGCAUUUGAUACCUUGUGUUGAUUUUCCCCAGUUGUUGACAUUGUGGACAACUUUUGCAGUGAGUGUUACAAUCCUUGAACAUAGUUGGCCAAUAGAAUCCACUCUAUAGAAUUUUUGCUGAAGUCUUCCUUGAAGCAAAAUAACCUCCACAAGCUCUUUCAUGACACAUUCGCAAUAUGUCUUGUUGUUCAUCCUCUGGAACACAUCUCCGCAUAAUUUGAUAUGGGAAAAACUUAUACAAAUACGGAUCAUCCCAAGCAUUGUGUUUUGCCCGUGAAAGAAAAUACUUCUUUUUUCCAUGUUCCAUUCUGAUGGAAGCUCUCCGGUUGCCAAGUAAUUGACUAUAUUUGCGAACCAAAGCAACUUCUCCACUGCACAAAGUGCAUCAUCAGGAAACUCAUCAUUAAUUUGUGCUUCCUCGAAAUGUGACUCUACUUUAACUCUAGAAAGAUGAUCAGCAACCACAUUCUCUACCUCUUGCUUAUCCUUGAUUUGAAUGUUAAAUUCUUGAAGGAGAAGGAUCCACCUGAUAAGUCUUGCUUUGGCAUCCUUUUUGUUGAGUAGAUAUUUCAAGGCUGAAUGAUCAGUAAAAAUUACUAUUGAAGUUCCCAAAAGGUAGUUCCUGAAUUUAUCAAGAGCGAACACCACUGCAAGGAGCUCCUUUUCGGUAGUUGUGUAGUUCUUCUAAGCAUCAUUGAGGGUUUUACUAGCAUAGUACACCACAUAUGGUUUUCCAUCCUCCCUUUGACCUAGUACAGCUCCCACUGCAUAGUCACUAGCAUCGCACAUCAACUCAAAUGGGAGAGACCAAUUGGGAGAUCUUACAAUUGGUGCAGUAGUGAGGAGUGACUUUAGUCUCUUGAAAGCUUCUUGGCAUGCUUUAGUCCAUAUGAAUUCUGCAUCCUUAAGUAGUAAAGCACAAAGAGGUUGAACGAUUUUUGAGAAGUCUUGUAUGAACCUUCUAUAAAAACCUGCAUGUCCCAAAAAUUAUCUUACCUUUUUAACAGUAGUAGGCGAAGGUAGCUUUGAGAUGAGCUCAAUUUUUGCUGGAUCUACCUGAAUGCCCUAUUUAGAGAUGAUAUGACCAAGUACUACCCCUGAGGUUGCCAUGAAGUGACACUUCUCCCAAUUUAGAACCAAAUCCUUCUCAAUGCACCUUUUCAAAACUUUUUUCAAAUUUAAGAGACAAUCAUCAAAGGUCUUCCCAUAAACAGUUAGAUCAUCCAUGAAAACUUCCAUGAUUAUCUCUACCAUGUCACUGAAAAUACUAAGCAUACACCUUUGAAAUGUGGCCGGUGCAUUACAAAGACCAAAAGACAUGCGCCUAUAAGCAUAAGUGCCAAAUGGGCAUGUGAAUGUGGUUUUCUCCUGAUCCUCCAAUGCAAUGGCAAUUUGAAAAUAGCCUGAAUAGCCAUCCAAGAAGCAAUAAUAGUCAUGACCAACUACCCUCUCCAAAACCUGAUCUAAGAAAGGUAAUGGAAAAUGAUCUUUCUUGGUGACUGCAUUCAACUUUCUAAAAUCAAUGCAUACUCGCCAACCUGUAGUCAACCUUGUAGGAAUGAGCUCUCCUUCAUCAUUGUUCAUCACAGUUAUCCCGCUUUUCUUAGGUACUACUUGAGUGGGGCUCACCCAACUACUGUCAGAGAUAGGAUAAAUAAUACCUGCAUCUAAAAGCUUCAAUACCUCAUUUCUGACUACAUCUUGCAUAAGGGGAUUUAGCCUUCUUUGUGGCUGCCUUACUAGUUUUGCAUUCUCUUCCAAAUAAAUAUGAUGCGUGCAAAUCAAGAGAUUUAUCCCUUUCAAAUCUGAAAUGGACCAACCAAUCGCUCUUUUAUUCUCUUUAAGCACCUUCAAAAGUUUCAUUUCUUUCUCUUCAGUUAAUGUAGCUGAAAUUACCACAGGUUUUUCUUCAUUUUUUUCUAAAUAAACAUACUUUAAACCAUGUGGCAGGGGCUUUAACUCUGGUUUGCUGAUCUCAACCUCUUCCUUUUUGCUUUCUUCAUCAUUCUCAACACUAUUCAAAGAUUGAAUCGUAUAUUUUUCUUUCCAUUCUGUAGCAACUUGAACACAUUCUUCCUUAACGAUUGUAGAGAAAAAUUCAUCUAUAUUUUCUUCUAUUAACUUUUCUGUGUGUUCUUGCAUUAAAGCCUCUAUAAGGCAUGCUUUCUCAUUUUCCACAUCAUCAUGGUCCAUUGGUUGCUUGCAUAAAUUUAAGACAUUCAUUUCCAUUGUCAUGUUCCCAAAAGAUAAUUGCAUCAAUCCAUUUCGACAGUUAAUGAGAGCAUUGGUUGUAGCAAGGAAGGGUCUCCCAAGAAUAAUUGGAACAGAAUUCAUACCCUUUUUCAAUGGUUCUGUAUUUAACACCACAAAGUCCACUGGGUAGUAGAACUUUUCAACUUGCACCAAAACACCUUCGACUACUCCUCUAGGUACUUUAAUUGAACGGUUUGCUAAAGAGAGUGUAAUGGUAGUAGCCUUAAGCUCUCCCAAUCCCAAUUGCUUAUAGAUUGAAUAUGGAAGCAAAUUCACACUAGCUCCCAAAUCUAACAAAGCCCUUUCCACGAAUGAAUCUCUAAUCUGGACUGAGAUGGUAGGACAACCUGGAUCUUUGUACUUCACCAUUGCCUUAUUCUCAAUGAUGGCACUGACUUGCUCGGUGAGGAAUGGUUUCUUGCUUAAUUUAAUCAUUCUCUUCACAGUGCAUAAAUCUUUGAGGAACUUUGCAUAAACAAGAACUUGCUUGAUCAUAUCAAGGAGUGGAAUGUUGAUCUUCACUUGCUUCAAAACUUCCAAAAUCUCUAAAGUCUUAUCCCCCACUUUGUAUCUCUGCAUAGCUGAAAGGAAAGGCAAAUGAUUGGAAACACUCAUUUUAUUUUUGCUCACAAUGACUUCCUCAUAUUUUUCAGACACUUUCUCAUUUCUAACAUUUUUCUCCACAGUUGGUUCAUCUCUAGCAGGAAUAUCUUCUUCACUUACACGUAACUUGGGCCCUUUGUAUUCUUUCCCAUUUCUGAGUGUGAUAACGACAUUGCAAUCUUCCUUUUGCACUUUAGAAACUUCAUUUACUCCUCUUGGAUUUUUCUAUGGUUGAGCUAGGAAUUUUCCUUUCUCUUGAGAUAAACUUACAGCAAGUUGGCUCAAAGUGGUUCGAAUAUCUACUAGUUCUUGAGAUGUUUGAGCAUUUAUCCUAUUUUGAUAUUUAUUACGCUUGUCUUGCUUCUAUAUAAACUCUCUCAUCAUGUCUUCCAGGCUUGAGUUAGAUGAUGAGGUUUGAUGUUGCUAUUGAAAAUUAUGAGAUGGCAUACCUUGUGGUUGAAAACCUUGCUGCCCAUUAGUCUGAUUACCCUGAAAUCGGUUUCCUUGCUGUUGAAAUUGGCCAUUGUUACCUCUCCCCUCCAUGAUAGAUUUGGAUGAUUCCUUCAACCCGGAUUAUAAGUGUUGGAAUAUGGAGAAUUGCUAGAAUAUUGCUUGUAUGUCCCUAAGGCAUUGGCUUGCUCCAUAAACAUAUCUUGCACUGCAGGUAGAGUGGGACAAGAUUGCACACCAUGUUCCGUAGACUUACAUAUCAAGCACAAUUGAGUUACCCCAUUGACUAUUUGCACCUCUUGAACUCCCUUAGCUUCCAAAUCAUCCAACUUUCUCAUAACGAUUGCUAAUUUUUCUUGGACAUCUAAACCCUCUGGUAAGGUAUACACUCCACUAGCUCUUACUCUGUUCAUUGUUCUAUCUCUAGAUGGUUCCUUGACGAUUGGUUCAUCCCAACUUCUAGAUACCUUAGCAACAUAAUCAAGGAAUUGAAAUGCUUCAUCGGGGUUUUUAUUCAUGAAAUCUCAUCCACACAUAGUCUCGAGAAGUUGUUUCAUUGGUGGUGCCAUGCCUUCAUAGAAAUACGAAAAUAGCAUCCAGUUGUCAAAUCCGUGAUGGGGGCAAGCUGCAACAAUCUCCCUGAAUCUUUCCCAACAUGCAAAAAAUUUCUCAUCCUCCAUAGCCUUGAAAUUCGAGAUCUCCUUUUUCAAUGCACUGGUUCUAUGUGUUGGAAAGAAUUUCUACAAAAACACUGAUUGUAGAUCACCCCAAUUUCUGAUACUAUAAGGUCUAAGACUAUUUAACCAAGUCUUAGCUUUAUCCUUCAAUGACAAGGGGAACAGCUUCAUGCGAAAGAUCUCCAAAGGAGUGUUGGCUUCUCGAAAAAUUGAAACGAUGUCCUCAAAUUCCUUGAUGUGAGAGUAUGGAUUUUCAUUUUAUGUCCCCCUAAAAAUGGGUAGUUGAGACACCACUUGAGGCCGAAUGGUAACAUGAUUAUGAUUUGGAGGUAGCAUAAAACACGAUGGUGUGCUCAACCUGGGAGGAUUUAGAAGCUCUUUCAUAGUUCUUUGGCCCUGCACAGGUGGUCGUGGCCUAUUGUUAUUACUGUUGAAUUCUUCAGUGUCCUCCAUAUUUGGUUGAGAUUCCUUAGUUGUUCUUUGAAGUCUACCUGAAAGAUCUCUUUCCCAACCAAGCAUAAAAUAGAAGAAAAAUAUGUAUAAAGAUAAAAAAUAAAUAAAAGAACUAAAACAAAGUAAUGCACUAUAUCCUAGUUAUGACGAUUGCCAAUCCCCGGCAGCGGCGCCAUUUUCUUGACCAAAAUUUCUCUAUUGUACCAAAAUACUUAGCCUUUUUACGUAGUAACUCUAGUCAAGAAGAACUAGAGAAAGAGUCACUACAACUUUUGUAGUAUUCCGGGUAUCGUUCUCAAGGACUGGCUUAUGAAAAUUGUCAAUACUAGAAUAAAUGAAUUGUUUUUUGUUAAAUCCUUAAGUGAANNNNNNNNNNNNNNNNNNNNNNNNNNNNNNNNNNNNNNNNNNNNNNNNNNNNNNNNNNNNNNNNNNNNNNNNNNNNNNNNNNNNNNNNNNNNNNNNNNNNUAUGUGAAUAAUGUGAAACUAAGUAAAAGAAGUUAAAUUAAUAAGAAAAAAAUGAAUAUUGAUUUUAAAUUCAAUUGAUUCAAGUUUGGGGUUUUCCACAAUCCAACCUAGGGUAUAGAAAUUAGAGAAAACAAAGGUAUUUUAAGUAAUAUGAUCUUAGGGUUUUGGGAUCCUUUGCCACUCGCGAUCAAGUUGAGUUCUAUAACUCAAAAUUGCAUUCGAAACCUAAUUUUUCCUUUUUAAAACAGAUUCCUAAAACCAUCAAAUGAAUGAGAUUGAUUAUCAAUUUAAGAUUUGGCUUUUUAACCAUUCCUACUCCUUAUAGCUUUGUUUAGGGGCAAAUAAUGGUAGGUAAGAUGAGGAUAACUAAUGAUCAAUAAUUACCAAGAAUCACUAGUAUCAACUAAUAACCUACCGUAUCAUUCCCUAAACGAACUCACAAGGAUAGGAUAAAAAAAUAUGAUAAAUUGUCACUCAACCAAUAAUUAAUCUCAUUGUUAUAAUAAUUUACCCAUUGUCCCUAUAGGUUUCCUAGCCCUUAGGUUUUCAUGCUUCAAGCCCCAAGUUGGCUCUUAGCCUCUCAUGGGGGUGAUGUCACAUUCACAAUCCAUAAUAAGGUAAAAAUCCAUAAUUUGAAUCAAAAGAAACUAAAAACAAUAUAUUCAAUAAAGAAGAAAAAGAAAACAAAUCAAAGUUCUCGUCUUCUUCUUCCUUCAAUGUCCAACUCUCCAGAAAAAAAUCCAAGAUUCCUAAAACCUAGAAUUGAGAGAGUUUAUAUAAUAUCCUCAAUUACCUAACAUGUGGCACACUCUCAUUGGCCACUUAUUACAAAAUAAUUUCCUAAAAAUGAUUAAAAAAUAAUAAAAUGGUGAUUUCUAGUCGUGUGGGGUCCACCUAGGGCAGAUGGAGUGCUUUAGAUGCAAUUCCCGAGGUAAAGGAGGCGGACCAUCAAAGUGGCAGUGGGUGAAUUCGAAAUUGGUGUCAUUUCGAAGUGGAUUUUGAAUUCAUAAGUUGAAUAGAUGCAAUUCCCGGGGUAGAGGAGGUGGAACAUCAAAGUGGCAGUGGGUGAAUUCAAAAUUGGUGUCAUUUCGAAGUGGAUUUCGAAUUCAUAAGUUGAAUUUCGAAAUACUAAGUUGAAUUUCGAAAUCAUUUCGAAAUGACCCUCUAGCUUGGUGCAGUUGUCUUCAAAUGGCCAUAACUUCUUCAUUUCAGCUCUAAUUUGCAAACUGUUUGAAGCGUUGGACUCUUGACUUCUCGAGCUUCGAAACGAUAUAUAGUAUGUAUAUAAUGGACUCCAGAAAGUGCUCCAAAUUUGUCCUCAAAGUCAUAGUAUAUAAUGUCAUCAGAUUUUUGAGUUCUAAAUUUUCAUGCAGCUAAAUCUUGCUUCAUGCCUCAUUUCCCACGCUUUCUUGCCUUCUUUCUUACUCCAUAAUGGUCAUUUAUCAUCUUCCAACCUCAUGAUAUCCUUGUUUUGCCUUUCCUUACAUUCAAUGAGUCUUGACUCACUUAUUUCCUCAUUUAGCCAUUUCUUGAUCUUUCAAAAUCUAAAGUCAUUCAAUUUGCACAAUUUUCUUCCCUUGAACCUGAGAUAAGUCUCCAAAGUACAGAUUAAACUCAUGGUUAGGGCCUUAGCCUUGAUUUAGGUCAAGUUGAGUGAUUUGAAUGUCCUUUGGUGUACAAAUCAUAUCGAAUAUGUGCCAUUAGAGCACAUAUUUUGGCUCCAAUCAGCUACAACCAAUGUUUGAAAUAUCGGUAAAUAUGGAUAUAUUGGUACUUGGAUUUUACGAAUAUAUAAGAAAUAUCGGAGAAAUAUCGAUGAAUAUUUUGAUAAAAAUUAUCUAUGGACAAAAAUUAUUCAAAAUUCAUGGGAAUUCUUUAAAAAACACAAAAAAAUAAAAUAGAAAAUAAAAAAUGAUAAAAUAAGUAAGAAUACACAUGUUAAAGUUAUUUUGUAAGUGUAAUUGACAUAACUACGAUUAAAGAUAAUAUUUAUCAAUUUUUUAUAAAAAAAAAGCUUAAAAAUUCCUUUAAUAUAUUUAUAUUAAUUUAUUUUAAAAUUUUAAAAAUACUUUUAUUAAAACAUGUUUUAUUAUAUUUUAAAUAAAAAAUUAAAUUUAUUUAUAUAAAAUAUUUUAUUCAUAAUUUAUCUUAUCAAAUUAAUUUUAAUUUAUAAAAUAUUAGGACUUCAUUAAUUUUUUUUAUAUUGUUGCAAUUUUUGAGGAAAAUUAUAUUUUUAAUAUUUUAAAAUAAAAACAUUUAAAAAUUAAAUAAAAUUAAAAAGAAAAAAAUUAAGAGUAAAGUGAUAGUAAUUUUUUAAAAUAGGGUCAAUGAGAUAAAUAUGAAAAAUAGUUAAAAAUAAAAGGAUAAUAUAAAUUUAAAAUCAAAGAUAAAUUAAAAAUUAUUAAUUUAAAAAUAAAAAAGGAUAAAAAAAAACUUUUUAAAAAAAGGUGAUUUUUUCAGAUUUCCCUCUGUGAUUCCCUUCAUUCUACUAAAAAAAAGGCCAUGUGUGUGUCACUUCCACGUCUUGAAUUUUCACUGAUUUUUUGCUCCAAAACUGAAAUUUCGCCCAUAUAUUGGCAAUUUUUUUUUACAUUUUUGCGAUUUUUUGAUUGAUCGAUUAUCAAUGGUUGAUUUCGUUUCGACCACACUGAAAAUCGAUUUUUCACCUGUACUUCAAUGAAAAAAAUCUGAUUUUUCAAACCUUGGCUUCAACUAGCAGCUACUUUGAAGUUGAAAUUUUAGUAGAAUGAAGGGAAUCUCAUUUAGCUUUUUAUUUUUUUUUUAUUUUAGCUUUGCAACUAACUACUAGUUUGAAGUUGGAAUUUUAGUACAGAAAGAGAAUGGAACAAAACUUUCCUUAAUGUGCUAACACUUGGUAGUGAUGUUAAUCUUGGACCUAAGAUAGAAAGGACACUCUAUGGAGAUAGUCUCAUCAACAAAUUAUCCUACUUAAUGUAACGGUACACAUAAACACACACACACACACACACACACACACACACACACAUAUAUAUAUAUAUAUAUAUAUAUAUAUAAGUUAUAAUAGGUUAAUUACAAUUGUGAAGGGGAAUCCUAGUGCAAGUCCUUGUUCUUUGAGUUAAUUUAAGUCAAUGAAUUAGAGGAAGGAUUCGUAUCUAGUUUUAAACCAAUGGUGCGGAUAGAGUUUGACUUAUAUUUCAAUAAUCAAUUUAAUAUCGUUUCUUAAGGAAUUGUGUAAGUUUGACUGAUAUUUCAGUCAUCAAUUUAGUAUCAUUUCUUAAGGAAUUGUCUAAGGAGGGUUCAUUUAGCAUGGAUCAUAUCAUACAAGUUAAGUAUACUAUAAUUGUUGUAGUAGAAAAUGCAUAUAUCAAUAAAGAGUGACUAGUAGACUAACCUCAAGGUCAGUCACUCUUUAAUCAUCUAGCUAGUGCUAAGUUAUCAAAGGCAUAAGUGAAACUUUUGGAACUGUAAUGGGCAAAAGUUAUGUAUUAUCCUAUUGUUCUAUCAAUAUAUACAUGCACAAUAGGUACAAAUGGAGGAAAAAGGUUUGGAGCCCAGAAUAUGAGCAAUAAUUAAAGCACUAAUAAAGGAUGCCUAAUUCUUCCCCUCAAGUUGGAAUAUGGAGGUUAUGAAGACUCAACUUGCAAAUGAAGGGAGGAAAAAACAGUAGCUUCCAAAGCCUUGGUAAAUAUAUCAUCCAAUUGUUUCUUAGUAUAAACAUAUGUAGUACAAACUAAACUGGCUCGAAUUUUUUAAUGAAUCCUAUGACAAUACUAGCUUGGUGCGUUCAUGAAAUACUAGAUUUGCAGUAAUAUGGAGAACAACUCUUAUCACAAAACAUGUUGGAAAGGAGCCAUUGAAUUUCACAAGAAGUUAUAGCCAUUGCACGAUAUUUAGCUUCAGUGGAAAAGUAAGAAAUUCUGUGUUGCUUUUUGGAUUUCCAAGAUAUAGGAGAAGAACCCAACAAUAUAUAAUACUUGGUAAUGGAAUGACGGGUUUCUAGACAAGUCACCCAAUCAAAGUCACAAAACGCAUUAAGUUGAAGUGUACUAGAUGGAGAAAAAAGAAUGUCGAUCUCGACUGAGUGAUUGUUCAAUGUGUCAAAGCAAGCGACGAGCAACAUCCAGAUAUGGUUGUUUGGGAUUAGCCAUGAAUUGAUUAAGAAUUUGAACUAAGAAAAUAGUGCCUGGACAACUAAUAGUGAGAUAGAUGAGGCAUCUAAUAAGCCUAUGAUAUAAAAGAAGAUUGGGUAAAAGGUCUCCAUCAGUUGAAGUAAGCGAGAGGUUGGGUUUCGUAGGUGUCUUGGUAGGCCGAGAACCAAGGAAGAUAGUAUCCUCUAAAAUAUCAAGUGCAUAUAUUUGUUGGGAAAAAUAAAUACCAUGUUGGGAGCAUGAAACUUCAAGUCUAAGAAAAUAUUUAAGUGGGCCAAGAUCUUUUAAGGCAAAGCAAUCAUGGAGAUAAUUCUUCAAAGAUGAAAUGACAGAGAUAAUUGGUAUAAACCAAUUGUUGGCAAUGUCAAAUUACUUUAUUUCCUAUCCUGGAUUGAAUAGAUAGUUAUUUGUUUUGAUUUCUAUCUUUCUACCUGUAAUAGGUAUUGAUAUUUACCCAUAUUUUAUUCUCUCAUCAUUAAUUGACAAGGUUGAAGCUAUUCUAUCUAAUUUUUAUUUUAUUAUUAUUUUUUAUAUAUAGAUAGAUUUCAUGAAUAAAAAAAUAAAAAAAAUUAAGCUUUUGGUUUUUAUAAUUGGUUCAUGCCUCUAACCUUAGGCUUCCCUAGAUCUUAUCAAAGCAUAAAAAAUGGCUAUAAAAGCCAAUAAAAUUAAUUAAUCUAGAGAAAAAGUAACUCAUACUUGUGAUUUGGAUGUUUCCAGAUCAAUUCCAAUCUACUGAAGUCGUUGAAAAAGUUAUAGAUCUAGUUUACUUGGUGUUCUUCCCCCUAAUCUCUCCUUACACGAAUCCAAACACGCAAGAGAAGUAUAAAAUACUCUUCCUCCCUAAGAGUGGUUAGAGUUUCUCUUUGAAAGAUAAAAGACAAAAGAUUGAAGUCUUGAUCCCUAAGAGGGUAUUUAUAGAUCAUCCUAUGGGUUUAAGUGACUUGUGCCUAGGUAUUCACAAAAUAACAUUCAAGUGUCCUAAAACACUAAAGCCUUUUGAGUAGGUUGUAAUGUUAUUUGGAUUAAAAAAAUGCUAAAGCUACAUAUCAACAUUCUAUGAAUGUAAUUUUCCAUGAUUUAAUUGGUAAAAUAAUUGAGGUAUAUAUUGAUGAUAUAGUAGUCAGGGUUCCAUAGGUAGUUUUCAGCCCAAGAUAAUAUAGGCAAAAAAAAAAAAAAAAACAUCUGGUCUACUAUUUCAGUCGAUUGAUAACUAAAGUAGGAAAGAAUUAUUCUCCAAUAUGAGUAAUAUAUCUAGCACUACUUUUUUUCCAUAAAGCUCAAACAUUGUAUGUUGCCUACCAUAGUCUAGAUGAUAGCAAAAAUAGAUGUAGUAAAAUACGAUGUUGUCACACCCUAUCCCUCAAAGGUUGAAUGGGAAAAUAAAUAUUAGCCGUCCAUCUUAAAAGAUUGCAUUGAUAUGCAUGAGAUGUCAAACAUGCCAACGAUUGAGAUCUUUACAUCAUUUCUAGGCCUAAAAGAAUUGAGAGAAGCUCAAGCAAUGCAUAUGGAGUUAGAAGAAUUGGGAGAGUCUCGAUUCAAAUCUUUGGAUCAUCUCUAAGCCUAAAAGAGAUAAGUUGCUUGGACCUGUGACGAGGGCAAAAAGAAAAGUUUUUAAUGGUAACCCAUUCAUCUUCAUUUAAAAUUUUGUACCGUUUAUCUUUUCAUUUUUAAGUUUUAAUUUUUUUUAAUAUUUUUCUAAAUUUAAGUUGACUAAUUAAAAGGUGUUUGAUAUUGGCUAAAACCAUAUAAAUAAAACUAUCUCACCAAAAUUUUUAUUUUUGCAAAGACAUAGAUUACGGGCAUUUUCUUAAUGACUUGCACUAGAUUUAAAAUUCUCUCUCACAAUCUGCUAUCGUAGGACUACGUUUACAUUAAAUCCUCCUCCUUCGCCUCCUUGUUGAUUGAGGAUGCUGCCUGUUUAUAUUUACGAUGUUUUGGUUUAUUCUAUUUCUAUAGAGGAACAUUGGAAACAUCUCAACAAGUUUGUCCAGACUAUUAAGAAUACUGGUUUAGGCUUGUCUACCACUAAGAUUAAUUUGUUUUAGACUAAGAUAAGAUUCCUAGGUCAUCAUAUUUACCAAGGAACCAUUACUCCUAUUCAAAGGUCAAUCCAGUUUGUUGAUAAGUUUCCUGAUAAAAUUAAGGAUAAGAAACAAUCGCAACGUUUCUUAGGAAGCCUUAAUUAUGUGUCAAACUUCCUUAAGGACAUAAGCCAAUUAUAUGCCCCUUUAAGACAAAGACUUAAGAAGAAUUCAAGUCCUUGGAAUGAGGAACAUACUAAGAUUGUCAAGACUGUUAAGUCUAGAGUCAUGACCCUGCCAUGUUUAGCCUUAGUUGAUCUUGAAGCCUUUAAGAUUGUUGAGACUGAUGCUUCAAAUAUAGGUUGUGGUGGGAUCCUUAAAUAGAAAUAUGGUAACCAUGAGAGAUUGGUUAGAUAUACUUCAAGGACCUGGAAUAAUACUUAACUCAAAUACAACACCAUCAAAAAAGAAAUUUUAAGCAUUGUUUUAAGUAUUUCAAAAUUUCAAGAUAAUCUUUUGAACCAAGAGUUUUUAUUAAGAGUUGAUUGCAAAUCAACAAAAUUAGUUUUGCAAAAGGAUGUUAAGAAUAUAGCUUCUAAGCAUAUUUUUGUAAGAUUGCAAACCAUUUUAAGUAAUUUUGAUUUUCAAGUUGAGUAUAUUAAAGGAGAAAAUAACUCAAUCCCUGAUUUCUUAACAUGUUGAUUUUGCAAGAUUCACAGGAUCAUAAUCCUUAAAAAGGCUACCUAACUUCCUAAUAGACCACUAGAAUCCUAAUCUUCUAAAAACAGUCAAAACCCUUCUCCUCAUAAAAUGCUUUGGAGUCAACAGAUUGAACUUGAAGAAGAAGAAGCAAGACUUCAUUAUUCCCCUUCUAGCUAUAUGCCUAAUAAGAUAUUGUCCUUGUACUAUGAUCUUUCGGAUCCUCCUAAACCAGUCAAGGCUACGCAAUUUCCUGUAAUUACAAGGUCUUAAACCUUUAAGCAAGUAACUAAAGCUAAUCCCCCUCAGAAGGAAUUAACAUCAAGCUCGACUUUUCCAAAUAAGCAAAUUGUGGUGGCUACCAACCUAACACCUCUUUCUUCAAAAUCACAUUAUUGGAAAAAUGAUCUUAAUAAACCUAUUUUGGUUAUUGAAAGAGAGUUUUUUCAAUGAAAAUCCCAAGGAAAUAGUUGCAAAAGCUUUUCAUGAAAACUUUCAUUAUCCAUCUAGUGAUAUUUUGAAAACAAGAGAUUUUUAUGAAAAUAUCCUUGUGGAUACUGACUUAGUUAAAAUUAAGCAUAAUACAGAUAAGUAUAGCAACUUGGAUUUAAGAUUUUCUAUUUGCCAUAUUUUCAAAAUUCUCACAAUUAAGUAGUGAGGUGGGAACCUUAAUUUUUCAAGGGAAUUCUCUAAGCCUUCAAAACCAAGAUUUUUCAAUUAUUGGGACUACUAGAAAGUCUGGUUUAAUGCUUUUCUUAUCCAAAACAAGGACUUCUAUCAUUCAUGGAUGUUCUAUUUCCCAUCUAAGCAUUAACUCUCUUCUUUUCCAUUUUGGUUUCACAAUUGGUGGACUUAUUUUGGUCCAACUAUUAAGAUUCUCCCAAAACCCAUCUUGGAUGGUUUGGAACUAUUCAAAAGUUCAUUUUUUUUUUAUUCCCAGAGAACUUUUAGCUUUUCCCCAUUUACUAUUCUUUUUUAGCGAAUUUGGCCUUGCUUGGAUAGUCAAGUGAGACUAUAUCAUUAUUGUGGAUGAGUUAGCAGCCUUUCCAACCCUUGGAAGGACUUUUAAGACUAAAUGGUGGGAUGCUUUAAAAAAUGAUGCCUCUGUGCAAGCCUUUAAGCAAUAUUUUCUUAAGCACCCCACACAAACAUCAACCUCUGAAGACAUGUCCCAGUUUACAAUAGCUCCAAGCCAUGAUUGCUACAGCUAAAACCCCUCAGGAAUUUCAUAAAAUCCUUGGCAAAAGUAGCUCAAGUUUUUCUCAAGAUGACUCUUAUGUUGGAUCAAAUGAUUCUAUUUCAAACUACUUUCCGAAUAAUGGCGAUGAUUGGGAGGGCAUUUUUCAUCCCAUUCAGAAAUCAAAAUAAGCAUUUUUCUUCGCCAUUUGAAGACAUUAAGUUAAUUCUGUUUAAGCUUGUUGUUUACCUUGGAAUUUUCCACCUACAACUUUUAAGUCCUUUUAACACCGAAAGUAAGCUUGUUCCCCGCAUGUGAUUCUACAAUUUUGACACCAGACAAAAGCAGUCAGAUAGCUCUUAGUAUUCCACUGAAAAACAAGAUUCAGUUGUCGAAAAGUCAAAAGUGCUACGGUAAAAGUCAAUUUUAUUGUUCACUAUUCACUUCACGGGUGGUUACUAUUCAUAGUUGAAGUCAAAAGUCCACAGUAACCUGUCGUCUGCUUUGUACUAUUUAAGAUUCUUAUUUUCAACUAUUUAAGGAGGCUAGUUCCUCAUUUGUAAACACCAUUCAUUUUCUAUUUCCACCCUGAGCUCUUUUUUCUCUUUUCUUUCUUCCUCAAGAUAUAAGCUUCCCAAGCCAAAGCUUUCCUUAAAGUUUUCCUAUCAUUUCCAUUGUAAGAUAUUGUUUCUCCUUAUAAGUAUGUUUUUCAAGUUAUGUAAUAUAAAGUUUCAUGUUUUUCAUUGCAUAUUACCUCGUCCUUAUAUAAACACAUAAUUUUUAAUACAAAUAUAUUAAUAUAAGAACACAAAGAUAAAGUAGUAUAAAGUUACACAAGGUUUUAAUAUGGUUCGACCAAUUAUAUUUAUAUUUAUGAAAGAAAAAGACCAUUCUACUAUAUUAUAAUAGAUAUGAUAGAAGAAAAAGAAACUAUAUACAACUACUAAGCCCUGAAACAUCUUAUAUUUCCUUACUCAUUGUAUUUACUCCUAACCUUCAGUUCUUCGCUCCAUCGAGCAUAUCUCACUCUUCUAUCUCAUGACCUUUUCUCUCAUGUCUUUUUUGCUUUAUCAUUUGAUCCAUUUUUUCAUUGUUAUUUUUAAAUAUCUAGAAUAUAUUUAUUUUAUUAUAUUUGCUCAAUUAAGAAUGACCUUAUAGACUUAAAAAACCUUUUGUAUUAAAGUAAAGCAACAUUAAGUAAUGACUGGUUCUAUUCAUUUUCAAUUAUUUGUUCAUUUUCACAACUUCGAUGAUCAUAAAAGCAAAAUAUUUUUGAAUAUAUAAUUCUUUAAUAUCAAAGAAAUUACAUAUAAAAAUUCCGAUCCAUUCUUAAAUAUUUUAUAAAAAAUAUCACUCAUCCAUUGUGAUCAAUAUAUAUAUAUAUAUAUAUAUAUAUAUAUAUAUAUCUCAUGAAUGUUGUGCUGGAAAAAGCUUUAAUACAAAUAUGUUAAUGAAAAAACACAAAGAUAAAAUAGGUCAUCCAUAUAACUAUAUGACAAUUUAACGUGGCUUAACCAACCAUGCCUACAUCCACAGAUGAGAAAGAUCUUUCCAUUAUAGUAUAAAGAAUAUUAUAACAAAAGAUAAAAACUAGAUACAACUACUGGAUUCUCAAACAUCCCAUGUCUCUUAUUCCUUGUAUCCCCUAAACCGUAAGCUCUUUCCCUUUAUCAAGUGUCUCUCACUUUUCCUCGCAUCUCUAUAUACGUAUAUAGUCUUCAUAAGCCCAUAUUCAAUUCAUGAUCUUUUGUCCUUGAACCUGUUUUUAUAUAUAGAAAAACACUAAUUUUGAAGUGCUAAUCACACCCCUCAAUCUAAACAUUGCUAGUCCCUAGCAACAGAAAAGAUAAAAAUAAAGGUAACAUGCAAUCCUCAAAAAGUUUUUAUCACCCUUACAUAAUCACCUUUCUUGAGUGCAUUUUUAUAAAGUUAGGUCUUCCUUGAGUCUAAAAUAAUAAUUGUUGAUGUGCAUUGGUUUACCAAGUUAUAAAAAUCAUGCAAAAGAUGUUUAAAAAAUUCCUUAGUCCUCCUAAGGUUCCUAUCACUCAUUCCAUACUAGACAUAGUAUAAAUUUGUUCAUCUCUUAGCUGUGACUUUAGGAGAAUAACUCCCCUCAACCUAGGUAAGACAAUACUCCUCCUCGAUUGAUUUUGGAGAACACCUUUCUUUACACUUUAUUGCUCUUAUUUUUUUCCCUAGAUUGCAUACAAAACCUUUCAUUUUGAUUCUCCUUUGGGUUCAAAACAUGCAUACAUUUCUUUUUUGUCUUUUACUAGCAUGAAACUCACUUCCAUGUGGCUAAUGAGGAUUCACUAGCAACUCCUAAGUUUACACCUAAGAUAAUAAGUUUGGAGGACCAUUGAAGAUCACUAAUCCCUCAAGCUUUACCUUUAGUUCUUUAGAACAAGUUCAAAAUUUCCAACUUUGAAGAAUUUUUUUUGGUGUUACAAAUCAAUAUAUCACUCUACGCACACGUAUACCUUGGCUUAUGAAAGAUUUUCUCUUAAAAACAUAACUAAGGUAUGAUGUGUUGGUGUGUGUAAGUCAUGUAAAGAAUUAAGUACUAGAAUGUCUUUGGAUUUCUCAAGGAAAAAUAACUAACUAUUCUUGCAUUUUGCCCAUAUCAAGUUAAAUUGAAUUAUAUCAACUUUGAAUUAUGACAACUUAAAGAAUUCCAAAAUAAUAAUAAUAAUAAUAAUAAUAAAAUCAGCACUUUUAGCAUGAACAAAAUAAUCCCCCACCCCUCAACCUACUUAACACAAUGUCCCCAUUAUGUGCAAAUGUGAAAGCAAGGGGAUAAAGAUGCUUACAAUGUUGAUGCACUUCUCAUUUCAAUUUGAUGGUCAUGGUUGCAAUUGCAUUUUGAUCAUCUAUAUUUUCAAGAUAACUCCAUUCAUAGUUAGGCUCAUUUAUUGAAAAUAAAAACAUAACUCCUAGGAAAUAAAAAGAAAAUAAAUGAAAAACUAAAAGAAACUAAGUACUAUAACCUACUAGACUAAGGAAAAUGUAUUUCCAUUAGGAAUCUCGCCAUCAAUAGGAUGGAAAAUUUCCUCUAGUGGCAUUCAUCUCUCUCUAAGGAACUUUAGGUAAUGAUUUUUCACCUUAACUUUACUCUUGUUCUUCUCCAACUUUCAUUGAGUUCUUCUAACAAAACUUCUAGAUCAAACUUCCCAUUCAUCUUAUGUGUUUACAAUACCUUAAGAAUAUUCAAAUACUUCAUUUCUUGAUCCGCAUGAAAUAAAUAUGAAAUCAUCAUUGGUUGGUCUUUAUUCCUACCAAGAAAAAUAUAUUUCAAUCCCUAUGGUGGUGGUUUCAAAUUAGGUUUCUUUUCCGAAAACAAUUUUGGUUUAUCUUGCAUCUUGUCUCUUGUUUUUAUGUCGCCAACAACUAGCUCAACCUUCUUUUUCCGGCAAGUGUUUUUCUGCAACAUAUCCUCAUUUUUAGCAACAAAUGCCUAAGCUUCUUCCUUAGGAAAGUCAACUAGUAGUUUCUCUAAGUGCUUAUCCAUGAGCAAAUUAACAUGUUCUUGAACUAAUGUGUCAAUCAAGCAUACUUCUUCAGAUUCAAACUCUUCAUGAUCAACCAGUUACUUGUAGAGGUGAAACACAUUCAGCUCCAAGGUCAUGUUCCCAAAUGAUAAGCACAUUUCAACAAUUGAUGAUUGCAUUGGCAAUGGCAUCUUAAGAUAAUUAGAAUUGAAUUUACCUUUUUCCUUAUAGGUUCACUCUCCAAAACCAUGAAAUCUAUUAGAUAGUAGAAUUUGUCUAGUUACAUUAACACAUCUUCUACCACUCUUCUAGGCACUUUAAUCGAUCUAUUAGCUAGGGACAAAGUGAUAGAUGUGGACUUCAAUUCUUCCAAUCCCAAUUGUUGAUAAAUUAAGGUAAUAGGUUCACACUUGCUCUCAAGUUAAACAAUGUUUUCUCCACAUAUGAUUCUUCAACUUGCACUAAGAUGGUGGGGUAGCCAGAGUCUUUAUACUUCACCAUAGACUUGUUCUCUAUUAUAGAACUCACUUGCUUUGUUAGGAAGACUUUCUUAUUGACUUUGAUUUUUCUUUUAACUGUGCAUAAGUCCUUAAAAAUUUUUGAAUAGGUCGACACUUGUUUGAUUAUGUCCAAGAAGGGUGUAUCCAACUUGACUUGCUUCAAUACUUCAAUAAUAUCAUAACUUUGCUUAUUGAUAUUAGGUUUUUUAAAUGCUAAAGGGAAAGGUAGGUGAUUCUUGAUUGCAUCUUCUCCCUUAUUUUUCUACUCAUUUUAUUUUCUCUCACACAAUUCAUCCUUUAAAAUAGGUGGGUUGACAUGUUGAACAAUCGGUUGAGAAGUUUUGACAUGUUUUUUUUGCUUUGGUGCUUCUAACUCCCUUCCCACUUCUCAACAUAAUUAUAGUUUUCACCUCUUCAUUUUCCCCAAAAUUUGUUGCUUCACAAGCAUUCCUUGGAUUUUGUUGGGAUUGGGCUGAAAAUGUCAUUUCUAUGGAGACAUACUUAUAGUGAUUUGAUUAAGAGUGACUUGAAUGUUGAAGAUUGCUUGUGAUGUUUGGGCAUUGAUUUUCCUCAAAUUUCAUUUAGUUUCGAUCUUUUUGUGGUCCUCAUUGAAUUGCCAUUGUUCAGCAGUAAAUUGAAUUUAUUAAUGAUACAUUUGUUGGAGAAAAUUCCUAAUACUCAAAAUAGUUGAAGUUAAUUGAGGUUGUUGCACAAAUCCUUGACUUCCUCUUAGAUAUGAAGUACUCAUAAAUGAGGGUUCAUUGGGGUUGGUUUAAAGAGUGCAUGACUGCUGCCCUUAUCCUUGAAUGUUGUUGAAUCAGUUUCUCACUGUAGAAACUAAUUUGUGUGUUGAGUUGAAGUUGUUCCUUGAAUUGAUUAUUCCCUCUCUAAGAUAGGUUUUAAUGGUUCUUCCAACCUAGAUCGUACAUGUUAUAAGGGGAAUUGUUGGAACCCUGCUUGAAGGCACCAAUUGCAUUGGCUUGCUUUGAGAACAUCUCACUCACUAUUAGGAGUGUUGGGCAAUUCAAAACUUCAUGCUUCGUGAACUUGUAGAUCAAGCAAUGUAUUUCUUCACUUAGCUACUUCCCUUUUGUGAAUUCCAUUGACUUCUAAUUACCUAAAUCUUCUUAAUAGAGAAGUCAUCUUUGCUUGGACGUCGAAUGCUUUAGGAAUUGAAUAGAUACCACCGGUUUUUGCUUUUCAUAGAGCUUUUGUCCUUGAUGACAUCUUUGCUCAAUGAAUCUUCCCAACUCCUUAAUACUCUAGCCACAUAAUCUAAGAAUUGAAGGGUUUCUUUUGGACUUUUGCUCAUAAAGUCACUUUUUCACAUUGCUUCCACUAGUUGUUUCAUUUGGAGAGACAUUCCUUUCUAGAAAUAACUUACCAACAUCCAGGUCUCAAAUCCAUGAUGUGGGUAGGCACCAAGCAUCUUGUUGAAUAUCUCCUAGCAUACAAAUAAUCUAAGGUUAUGAAAUUAGAAGUCUCACUCUUCAAUGCAUUGGUUUUGUGUGAAGAUAAAAUUUUUUAUAGGAACAUCAAUUGUAGAUUCGUCCAACUUUUGAUACUUUGUGGUCUAAGAGUGUUAAACCAAAUCUUUGCCUUGUCAUUUCAUGUCAAAGGGAAAACCUUCAUUCUCAUUGCCUCAAUAGGCACAUUUACUUCUUGGAAUGUGAAACAAAUUUUCCUCACUUCCUUAAUGUGAGAUUAAGGAUUCUCCUCUUUAUUCACCCUUAAAAUAGGUAACAUUGACACUAGUUGUGGUUUGAUUGAGAUAUGUUCUUAAGGGGCAUUGAAGCAUAAGAGUUUGUUGACCCUAAGAGGGUUAAAAUGAUCUUUCAUCUAUCUAUAGGCUUGGAAAAGCUUAACUUGUUAAUUAUUGUUGCUUCAAUUCAUUGGGUCAUCCAUACUUGCUUGAAUGGCUAAAUUUGUUUUUGAAGUCUAUCUAAAAUAUCCCUUUUCCAAACAAGUGUAAAAAGCAAGAAGAAGACAAUAAAAAUAAAAGCACUAAAAGUAAAAAACUAGAAAUAAAUAAAAUUCCUAUUAUUAAAGAAAACCAACUAUUUAAAAAAAAAAAACUAAAAACUAAUCAGUACUUAAUUGACUUAGAUAAAACUUGUAAUCAAUUCCCCAACAAUGACAUCAUUUUCUUGACUGAUAAUAUCUAUUGCAAAUAAAAUACUAAAACAUAAAUACAUAAUAAAACUAAUCAAGAAAAAUAAGGGAUAAAGUUAUCACAACUUGUAGUAUUUCAAGUUAUCAUUCUUAGGGAAUACUUUUUUUAAACUAAUUUUAUCUAAAAAUAGUGAUUUUUAUGAAAAAAAAAAUGAUUAGAUUGAAAUUAUGAUUUGAUGGAUAAAUUAAGAAAACCGUGAUAAACAAAUCUAGAGAUUUUCACAAAUCCAAUCUUAGACCUAUGAUUGAGGGAUGAUAAAUACUAAUUAAAGGAUUUUUUUUGUCUUCGUAGAUUGGACCAAAAUAUAGGUUAUCCAAGUUUGGAACCAUGUUUUAAAACUUAAAAUCCAUUCUUUAAUAGUCAUCCAACAACUAAUUUGAUAAAUUGUUUCAUCCUUUAAGAUAUUUAAAACCUAAUGUUCAUUUGGUAGAUUUUCUUUGGUCAUCAAUCACAUAUGAUCAUACUAGGUCAGCUAUUGAUCUUAAUCCCUUAUGCAUCAAAGGAACCCUAGCAUGUAUCCUAUGUACAUCUAAUAGGGAUGAACUAGCAAAUAAUUAAACUUUCAUACAAAAUUUAAAGAUUAGAAACUUACUAACUUGGAAAGAUAUCACCUUUUCUUAUCAUCCCUUUCUCCUAGAUCAUUCGUGAUUUAUUAUUGCAUCUCCAAAGAAAGGAUUAGCUCAGAUUAAUGUCAUAUAUUGAAUUAAAUUAAAUCAUGAGAGAUUUUAUUGAAAACUAAAUGAUUAUAAAAGUUGUAUCCAAACUCAAAAGUUUCUUUCUUUUUUUGUUGCUUUCUCUGUUCAUAAAGAAAUUUAUGGUAUUUAUUAAAAGCCUAACCCUAAAAACAUAAAUAAAAGUGCUAAAACGUCCAAAGACAUGCAAAAAAAUCCAAAUGGGGAAAGUCUCGAAGGGAAAUUCUGGAAGUUAAAGUUUGUAUCAGAAAUUUCGAUACCUCCGUAGUGGUGUCAAAAUGCAUUUUGAUAAAUGUCUAAACCUUAUAGACCUCUGGCAUGCUUCUAAUGUGGUAUUGGGUUGAUUAUGACAUGUAUCAUAAUGUAUCUUUUUGUAUUAUGAUGUAUCGAAAUAUUGCAUCUUAUAUCAAAAUUGUAUCAUAAUGUAUCUUUUUGUGUCUUAAUGUAUCAAAAUGUUUCACUUUGUAUUGAAAUUAUAUCUCCAUGUAUCGAAAUUCAUUUUGAUAAACCCUGAAUUUUUUUGUAUCUUUAGAAUGCUUUUGUAGGAAAAUUUGGAUACCUCCACUAUAUUGAAAUGUUUAUCAAAAUUCAUCUUUCAUUUUGAAAUGCAUUUUGAUAAACUCCUAAACUCACUGGAUCUUUGAGAGGUUGAGAUUGGUGAUUUUCAAUACCUUAUUGUGGCAUCAAAAUCAAUAUUAAAAUGCAUUUCUUGUAUCAAAAUGGUGUCCUUGCAUCAAACUGUGUAUCGACUGACAUCAAAAUGUAUUCCAAUAACACCCCAAACUUAUUGUGUUCGGAUUGACUCUGCUCCCUUGUAUUGAAGUUGUUAGGACAAUGAGUCUUUAAUGUAUUUUGACAAUUUUGUUUCAUUCUAUUUUUGGCCUAAGAAUCUUUUUAGAUAGUGACUUAUUCUUCAUUGAAGAUCCAAGGUUGUUGUUCAUCCAAUUGAAAAGUCAUAGGUAUGUCAAAGAAGGUUUGACUUGUGACAAGUUAGGUAAUCAAAGGGAAUAAAGUGAAUAAAUAUAUAUAUUUUAAAAAAAAUUAAAAAAGUUUGUUAAAGGACAAUUAUUUUUUUAUUUUUUUUAAAAUAAGAUAUGAUUGAAUUAGAAGUUUUAAAAUUGAGCUAAAAUCUCUUAAUUAUUUUUUGACAACUUUGGGAUUUUGUUUUUAAUAAAAUUAUUUUCUCAAUUAAUUUUAAGAAAGUUGAUAUUUUGUUUUUAAGAAAAUUCUUUUCUUAAUUAAUUUUUAGAAAGUUGAUAUUUUUUUAGUUGAUCUUUAGAAAGUAGAUAUUUUAUUCCGUUUCCAACCAUUUUGGGUUUGGGCAUUGUCGAGAGAGACUCAACUUAACUUGCCCUACCAUUCCCAAUCUCUCAACAAAGAUUCAAAGAUUGAAUCUUGGGUUGUUGGAAGAUUUUCAUUCCCUUAACGAGUCUAAGGAGUAUUCAUUCGAGUAAUUGGAGAUUGUUACGUCGCAAAUGUGGAUCAAGUUGUAAGUAUUGAAGAAUAAGUCUUUAGGGUAAAACAAUAAGAUAUAUAAAUCUAGGUAACUUGAUCUUAUAUAAUGGAUUUACAUUAGAGGUUUUAAACCUUAUGAUUUUUUAUUUUUUAUUUAUUUAUUUUAUCUCCAUAGUUAGUGUGUGAGUUUUCCACAUGAAAAUUAUUGUUUUCUUUGCAUGUUUGUUUACUUUUUUUAUUAUUUUGGAUAUUUUGUUAAUCCUUGAUAUCUUGCUGGUUUAAUUAGGUUAAAAACUCUACUCCCUAUUUAAAUUGUGUUAUUAAUUCUUAAUCCUUAUAUUAUAAUUUUUAAUUACACUCAUUCAUCCCCUAUGUUACCCUAUUGGACCACGGCUUUUUAGAAAGUGAUGUUGAAAUCCACUCUUACAUAUCAAAAUUCCUCUUUUUCGUUGCAUUCCUCACUAGAUGUAAACAUUGAUCCUCAAUUUGAGGCUUAGCAAAUAUUUAAGUUACAAUGAUAUGCACUCAAAAGUUAUUUAAAAGCCUAUUUCUAUAUAUGGAAAAACAUCAGUUUUGAAUGCUAAUCAAGUACUGCAUAUGGGAUUGUAACUGCAUUUUAGUUGUCGUCAUUGUCAAGCAAGGUUUUAAGUUGAAGUUUUUGAAGGGUGCAUCACGUGGGCUUGCUGGUUCAGAUAUCACCCGCAUUUUCAAGACUUGAAUUUGACCUCACAGUGUACUCUGCUACAAGCUUGGCGAAAGAUGACGACUUGUUCUCUAGCAAUCUGGUUGGGGUAUCGUAUUCCUCAAUUAUCCCUACAUCAUCGACAUUUCCAGGGAAAUAAAUCAAGAAGAAUGCAGAUGAAGUUAAGAGUGCCAUUAGUUCAUGUUGAUAGUACUAACCAUGAUCCAGAAGUAGAACCAUGUCACUAUCAAGAACAGAAGUAGUUCGAUGUGCAAUAGUUAUGACUGUAGAAUCGACAAAGUGUUGUCUAAGGGUUUGCUGAAUCUGAUUAUCUGUGGCUGUAUCAACUGAUGCAGUAGCUUCAUCAAGCACCAAGACCUUGCUUUUCUUGAGUAGAAGUCGGCCAAGACAAACCAGUUGCCUCUGACCCAUGCUCCAAUUCUCUCCAUUCUCAAUAACUGCCAAAUGCAUACUAACAUUAGGAGACUUAUAUGAGGUUUCUAUUUAGAUUUUAUGUUAGCAUGGCGGGAGAAAUAACCUACAGAAUCUAGCUUUCCUUCUUUCUUCCUGACUUCAUCUCCAAGCUGGCACUUAUCCAGAGCCUGAACCAAUAAGUUAGUUAACAACAUUGCACUUCUACAGUACUAAGAAAUUUAGCGAAGGAAACUAUAUUUCUACUAUAUUAAGAAAACAUAGUAGAGGAAAACUGCAUGUCUACCAUACUUAAGUAUAUCAAUAGAAUAAACAAAACCUACCUCCCAAGUCUGCCCAUCUGAGUACUCUUCAAGUGGGUCAAGGUUGCUCCGUACAGUCCCGUCAAACAUGGUUGGAUCCUGAGGGAUAAUGCUUAGUCUGGACCGCAAAUUUUGUAGUCCAAUGGAAGAGAUGUUGGUACCAUCUAUCAUAAUCUGACCAGCGGCAGGUUCAACAAUUCGAAAGAGGGUCUGUAUGAGGGUUGAUUUACCGCUGCCAAUUCGCCCUACAAUGCCAGUCUUCAUUCCUCCCGGGAAAGUGCAUGUGAGACCUCUCAAUACAAGUGGCAUGUGUGGGGCAUAGCGGACCUACAUCCACACUCACCGUCAUGAAACACAUGGAAAUUCCUUUGACCAGAGGAAGCCAUGAAUAACCCCGUGUCGUAUAUAUUGUUGGUAUGAGAUAAAAUCAUAUAUUUUAUUCUAUCUUCAAUUCAUUAGAGUACAGGUGUAUAUAUAGACAAAACGGAAAAAGCUAUACAUGGACUACAUGGAUUACAACUACAAUUGCUGACCUAUAAUUGACCCUAUAAAUGAGGGAUUGCAGUGACUGAUUUUUCUCCUAUGAUAUCCAUAAUUUUCUCCUUUAAUUGUUCAGAGAACAGCUCACGCCAACACUCCCCCUCAAGUUGGUACGUAAAUAUCAAUAAGUCCCAACUUGUCUAGUGAGUGAUGGAAUAUUUUACUGCUCACAGCUUUUGUAAGAAUAUCGGCCAGUUGGUCUUCAGAUUGCACAAAAGGGAAUCAGAUAAUCUUUGCAUCAAGAUUUUGUUUAAUAAAGUGUCGAUCUACUUCUACAUGCUUAGUCCGAUCAUGCUGAAUGGGAUUAUGGGAGAUGUCAAUUGCUACUUUAUUAUCACAAAACAACUUCAUCUCGGAGUCAAGGGCAAAACCAAUCUCCGUUAGAAGUCUCCUAAGCCACAAUAACUCACAUAGCCCUUUAGUCAUUCCACGAAACUCAACUUCCGCACUGGAUAGAGCGACCACCUUCUGUUUUUUGCUUCUCCAAGUAACCAAGUUUCCUCCAACAAAAGUGAAGUAGCCUGAGGUGGAUUUCCUAUCCAUGAUGUCCCCUACCCAAUCUACGUCUGUAUAUCCUUCUACUCUUAGGUGAUCAUUUUUUGAGAACAUAAGUCCCUUUCCAGGGAACGACUUCAAAUAUCUUAAAAUCUGCAUAACGACACUGAUAUGAUCUUCACUUGGACAAUGCAUAAACUGGCUUACCACACUUACUGCAUAAGCAAUAUCAGGUCGUGUGUGAGAAAGAUAAAUAAGCUUGCCUACCAAUCUUUGAUACCUUCCUUUGUCUGUUGGUACUUGAUUGGGAUAUUCUCCAAGUUUGUGAUUCGGAAUUAUUGGAGUUUCUGUAGGCUUACAAUCAAGUAAUCCAACCUCUGUUAAUAGGUCUAAAAUAUAUUUUCUUUGAGACAGGAAUAUACCUCGCUUUGAUCUAGCAACUUCAAUUCCCAGAAAGUAUUUUAGUCCUCCUAGGUUCUUCAUUUCAAACUCAGAUGCCAACUACUCUUGAAGUCUUGCUAUCUCCUCUGAAUUGUCUACUGUGAUGAUCAUAUCGUCUACAUAGACUAUCAAAGCAGUCAGUUUGCCCUGUCUAUGCUUUAGGAACAAAGUGUGAUCGGAGUUACUUUGCUGGAAUCCAUACUUUUUCAUUGUCAUACUGAAUCUUCCAAACCAAGCUUGAGGUGAUUGUUUCAACCCGUAUAGAGUUCUUUGUAAUUUGCAAAUAAUGUUGCCUUUUGUGUUGGCUGCAUAUCUUGAGGGAAUGUCCAUAUAUAUAUAUAUAUAUAUAUAUAUAUCUUCUUCUAGAUCACCAUGUAAAAAUGCAUUCUUUACAUCGAACUGAUGCAGGGGCCAAUCCAGAUUUGCUGCAAGUGGCAACAAUACUCUCAUCGUAUUUAGUUUGGCAACGGGUGAGAAUGUUUCCUAAUAGUCAACUCCGUAUGUCUGCGUGAAUCCCUUUGCUACAAGUCUCGCCUUGUAACGCUCAACUGUUCCAUCUACCUUGUAUUUGAUAGAAAACACCCACUUGCACCCCAUUGUUUUCUGUCCUUUAGGUAGAUUGACAAGAAUCCAGGUCUUAUUUUUCAACAGUGCCUCCAUCUCCUCCUUCAUAGCCUGGACCCACCUCGGGUCAUUCAUUGCUUCUUCAACGCUUGUAUGAACCUGACACGAGGAGAGUGCAUCUGCGAAAGUCUUUAGAGGUUCAGGAAGCGUCUUUGUGGAUACAUAGUUGUCAAUCGGGUAUUUCAACCUCAGGUCUUCUAUGGUAGGAGAGUAUCUAUCUAGUGGCUUGCCUCGAUUAUGCCUGUAUGGUAACUCAUAGCCCACAUGAGCAUCAUUAGUUAACACAGGUGUACUCAGAGUGUUCAGGGAACUUACCUCAGGAAUAUUAUUAGGAGAUGGGUCUUUGGAUAUUGUGGGAUGAGGGGGUACUAUCGACUGUUGUGGUUGCUGCUCUUCAGUUACUAAUGGUAGAACACCAAGUUCUUUGUCAACAUCAGGUUCUGUAUUGGAUAUAGAAACAACAGGCUCCUAAUCAAACCUCAGCCAAUUCAACUCUUCAUUUUGAGGCGCCCCCUAAAGGGUAGAAGUGGAUGUGGUCGGAGAGUAGAAAGUCUCUGAUUCCAAGAAGGUGACAUCCAUCGUCACAUAGGUGCGAUGAUUAGAUGGAUCAUAACAACGAUAUCCCUUUUGAUGUAGGCCAUACCCCAAAAAAAGACACCGGAUUGCGCAGGGAUCGAGUUUAGUGCGUUGAUUCUUGUGUAAAUGAACGAAGGCAACACAGCCAAAUACUCGAGGCGAAAGCAUUAGGGCAGUAGGUAGAGAGAUGACAGUGGAUAGAGCCUGGAGAGGAGUCUUGAACUUAAGAACCUUAGAAGGCAUCCGAUUAAUAAGGUGAACUGCUGUAGUGACAUCAUCAAUCCAAAAAUGAUUAGGUACAUGAGCACCAAGAAGAAUAGCCCGAGUAGUCUCUAAAAUAUGCCGAUUUUUCCUUUCGGCGAUUUCGUUUUGCUGUGGUGUUUGAGGACAGGUAGUUUCAUGAAUCAAGCCAUGGCGACUGAAAUAAUUUUUGAAGUCACGGCAUAUACUCUCCACCAUUAUCGGAUCAAAGUAUGUGAAUUGUAGUAGAAUACUGAGUUUUAACCAUCUCAUGAAAUGAGCAAAAAAUAGAGAAAACUUUAUCCUUAUUCUUCAUUAGAUACAACCAUGUCAUAUAAGUGCAAUCAUCCAAAAAAAUCACAAACCAUCGACCCCCAGAUAUAGUGGAUUUGGGAGAUGGACCCCACACAUCAGAGUGAAUCAAUUCAAAAGGCAUCUGACUCUUAUUAAAACUCAAAGGAUAACUAACACGAUGACUUUUAGCUAAGAUACAUGUCUCGCAUUUAAAAGCCAAAUCCGACAAACCCAAAAAUAAAGUAGGAAAUACAAGUUUCAAAUAGCCAAAUGAAGGAUGUCCUAACCAACAAUGCCACAACAAAAUGUUCACCUUAUUUCGAUCACUAGAGCUUCUCGUAUGGUUAGCUCAACCGUUGCCAAAAUCUUCCAUAUAGUAGAGCCCCCCCCUUUUAGUACCACGCCCAAUUAUCUCCUUGGUGAGAAUAUCCGAAGAAGACAAAAGGUUGGAUAAAUUAGAACAAUACAAUUUAACUUCUUCGUGACUUGGCUCACUGACAAUAAUUUAUGAGACAAUGAGGGUACAAAAAGGGUAUUGGUUAAGGAGAGAGCUGGUGAUAUCAUCACUGUACCAGCCCCUUUUACCAAAGAAAUGUCCCCAUUAGCAUUAGCAAUGCUAGUAUGCCGAGGAGAGAAUCGUUUAGAAAAAUCACUUGCAGUGGUUUGUUGCCCCUAAAUCAAGAAUCCAAUCGUCAUAUGAUUCAGUGGCAUUGGUCCCGAGAAAACUCAUACCUGUAUCCAAAUCAACUGUUGUUGUCAGAAUAAGUGACAAUUGGGACUCAGUCGAGGCUAUCGCGGCCUUACCCGUGCCAUUAGCUGCAUUUUUGCUUGCUCCACCAUCAUUCCCAUUCCCAUCCCGUCGCCUCUUGGCUUGUAAUUCAUGCACCAAUAUGGGUAGCCAUGCAGUUUGAAGCAUGUGUCUCGAGUAUGCUUCGAAUUUCCACAAUGAGAGCAUUUCAUGUCAUUGGAUGGGCCCUUUGACUUAGAAAUUGAGUUGAAUUUUCCAUUCAAUGAUAAAGAGUUGGCUGCAGUGGAGGGCCCCUGUUUGAGGCUUCAUGAAGCCAAUACUACUCCAAUCGCCUCUUCUCCAUCAUUGGCUGUCAUCACCGCUUGACGCACAACUUCUAUACGAACAUGGGCAUACGCCUGUUCCACUAUGGGAAAUGGCUUAAGCUGCAACACAUCACUUCUAAUAUUAUCAAGUUUAUCAUCCAAACCAUCAAGAAAAGUAUAUACCCGUUCCUCCUGCAGCAUAUUGUUAAAAUAUUGGAUAUCUGCUGGACAUUGCAUUGGAUUGGGACAACAUAAAUCAAUCUCCCGCCAUAGACCUUGGAGAUCAUUGUAGUAUUUUUCCAGAGAGCCACUACCCUGCCUGAGUCGUGCCACUCACCGCCGGAGUUCAUAAACUUGGGUUGCAUCAUUUCCAUCGAAGUAAGUGGUUGCAAUUGCAUCCCAAACUUGCUUUGCCAUUGGAAACUGAAUGAAGUUGCCAAUAAGGGAUGGAUCCAUUGAACCAAUCAGCCAUCCUUUCACAGUUGCAUUCUCAGUCCGCCACCUACAGAAGGAAGGGUCGGUUGUUGAUGGUUGAGGAAGGUCGCCGUUGAUGUAGCCGAGUUUAUCCUUGCCCGCAACAUACAUCUUUACGACUAGUGACUAGAGGGCGUAAUUCGUGCCGUCCAACUUGAUGCCAAUCGGUGCAAUUGCUGAGUCGGUGGCUAGAAUGGACGUCGGAGCUUUACUCAAAGCUUCUGUCAUCCUUGCCGUAAGUUCAGACAGUACAGAUGGAGAGAUUGAAUAUUCACCCGAGUGCUCACCUAAGUGAGGAUUUGUAUCUGCCAUGUGAAAGGAGAUUGGGCUUUGUUUUCAAGAAAUUUGGUUGAACGGAGGAUAGAGGAUCGAAUUCUGCUCUGAUACCAUGUUGGUCUGAGAUAAAAUCAUAUAUUUUAUUCUAUCUUCAAUUCAUUAGAGUACAGGUGUAUAUAUAGACAAAACGGAAAAAGCUAUACAUGGACUACAUGGAUUACGACUACAAUUGCUGACCUAUAAUUGACCCUAUAAAUGAGGGAUUGCAGUGACUGAUUUUUCUCCCAUGGUAUCCAUAAUUUUCUCCUUUAAUGGUUUAGAGAAUAGCUCACGCCAACAUAUACAAAUUGAAUUACCUGCAAAUCCUGAAUAUCAACUUGUCCAUAUGAAGGCCAGGAACAUGCUGGCCUGUUUUCUUCUAUGACAAGAGGAGGCUCACUUGGAAUGGAAGUGUAUUGAAGCAUUCUCUCAACUGAUAUAAUUUUAUUCUCCGUAUUGCAAAGACUCCAUAUUACCCCAAAUUGUAACAUGUUCAAAGUAAGUCUAUAUGUCACUGCUAGGCCCGCAAUACCUUUGAUGGAAGUGGAAAAGAGUGUUAGUAAUUUUCCUAUGCCAUUUGCUAUUGAGAGUGAAAUGGAUAAUUAGUGAAUAUACCAUAUCAGAGUUACUUACCAGGAUCAAUUACUCCCUCUGGAACAGAGAUUAAAAAAACCAAAGAGAAGGCAAAUGUAACAGAAGAUAGCAUAUCCAAGCGGAAGCACAGCCAUUCCAUUGCACCAGCAAUGUUGAACUUGGGCCGUAAAUACCCAUCUACUAAUUUCAUGUUUGUGUCCUUGAAUCUAGAUUCUUGAUCAAAGCUCCUGACGGUCAUAGAUCCUGAUAUAGUUUCAGAAAAAUGUUGAAUUACUGGAGCUUUGCAUACUCUGGCCAAUCUUGACAGUUCUCGUGCUGAAGAUAUGUAAUAUUGCUGCAUAAUUAUAAUGUUGCAUGAACCUUGUGCUCAUAUAUGAUAUAAAUCUAAGCUUCAAGGGAGUACCGAAAAAAAGGGAGAAAAAUGGUUUUGGAGAUAAUUAAAAAACAGAAAUACAUUACUUAAACACAGCAUCUAAACUGCAAAACCGGCGGUCCAUCUUGCAGCCAAUUUCAUUACCCUUAUCUUAAAAAUGACUUGGCACUAAAAAACCACCAUAUCAACAGUAAAGAAACUUUCAUUUUGAGGCCAUAGUAAUUGACAUGGUACAUACAAAUUGGCACCUCCUCAAUAUGCAAUGCUUGUGAUUGGGCCCCAGCUCAGCAGGAUCAGAAAGGAACAUGAGCAUGCCAUGAAUUGUAAGAGUUACCCUGAAUUAGGAUUCCAUUUUAAUGCAGUUGGUUUAAAAUGAAUCAAAUUACUCGAUAAGCAAUGCACUACUCCAAAUUUUUUGCUAAGCAACAUUUUGGAGUAAAGUUCUGUUUAUACCAAAAAUGGUUUUGAACCUACUGGCAUUUUCAGGAACAGAUAUGAUUGAUAAUCUAAUCUGCAAGAGUACAUGGCAUCAGUAAGCGAAGAAAAUUAAUGUAAUAUGAGAAACAUAAGGUGAUCUUAACAACAGAGCAUGAGAUGUCAUGUGACAAAGCCAUGUGUUGGCUGGCAUUAAAUAACAAGAAGAGGUCCUAACAAGUUCACAAUGGUUACCUGAUACCAGAUGCAGGUUGCAAUCACAGGAAUAAAGACAAUGAAAACCUGCCAUGCAACCUGUGACAUAACUGCAAUAAUUGCCAGGAGCCGAAUCAAUGAGAAGGCAAAUGCCCCAACUUGCAUGGGAAUGUUUGUGUCGAUCGCAUUUUGGUCUGUAGAAGCCUGAAAAAAGGGAAGGAUCAAUUAAGUAAUAAUCUAACACUUCACUUUGGUCAUUAGGGAAAAAUGCAAGGCAGAAAUAAAUAUAUAUUCAUAUUUGCACUUACUCUGUUUAGAAUCCGUCCACUUGGGGUGGCAUCAAAGAAUGACAUUGGGGCACGGAAAAGGCUCAAAUGCAUUUUAUUGAAGACUAUAGUAGCUGUCUUGUAACUAGCUGUUACAAGAAGCAUGGCUCUAGAAAGGACGCAAAAAGAACUUCCAACAGCCAAAGCUACAUAAACAAUCAUGAGAGUAGAACCUCUAACUGCAGGUUUCACAUCAUCUGACACGGGACUUGCCCAAGCCAUCCAAUAAUUGCUUCCAAUCUGAAGCAGCUGAAAGAGAAUCUGUGACAACAAUAUAAAGGGCACAAGAGCUCCUCCAUAUGCUGUCCUGGUGUAUUUCCA